rnacentral:lncRNA from 1 species
CAGAAGAUGUGUUGGAUGAAUUUGAGGUGGAAAAUCUACGAAGGCAAGUCAUGAAGCAAAGAAGCAUCGGAAGAAAGUUUCGUAACUUUUUUGGAAGCUCAAAUCCGAUAGCUUUUCGUUUUAGAAUGGGUCAUCAAAUCAAGAAAAUUCGAGAGAGAUUUGAUGAGAUUGCAAAAUUGAGGGGUGAGUUUAAUCUCAUUGAACGACUUGACGAUCAUCGGCGAGUUGUGCACAAAGAAAGGGAACCCACUCACUCGUUUGUGCUUUCAUCUGAUAUUAUUGGAAGAGAUAAAGAUAGAGAAAAGAUUAUUGAACUAUUGAUGCAAACAAGUGACGGCGAAAGUGAAACUGUGUCUGUGGUUCCUAUUGUGGGACUUGGAGGUUUGGGCAAGACUGCACUUGCAAAAUUGGUGUACAAUGAUCAAAGGGUAGAAGAGCAUUUUGAGUUGAAAAUCUGGAUAUGUGUUUCUGAGGAUUUUGAUGAGAAACAACUUAUGACAAAGAUUAUCAAGUCGAUAACUGGUCAAAACCAAGGUGACUUGGAUACAGACCAAUUGCAACGAACCUUGCGAGAUCGUUUGAAUAGUAAGAGAUACUUGCUUGUUAUGGAUGAUGUAUGGAACGAAGAUCCUGAAGCAUGGCGUAAAUUAAAAAGCUUAUUAUUGGGAGGUGCUAACGGAAGCAAAAUUUUGGUAACCGCACGUAGCAGGAAGGUUGCUUCAAUCAUGGGCACGAGGGGAGGUACUACUGGCUACAACUUACAAGGUCUACCAUUCGAGGAUUGCUUGUCUUUGUUUAUGAAAUGUGCAUUUAAAGAAGAGCGAGAUAAACAUCCAAACCUUGUUAAAAUCGGGGAAGAAAUUUUGAAAAAAUGUGGCGGAAUUCCUCUGGCAGUCAGAACACUAGGAUGUCUACUAUAUGACUCAACGGAUGAACAUUUUUGGGAAUAUGUGAGGGAUAAUGAGAUAUGGCAGUUAGAGCAAAAGGAAAGUGGUAUUUUACCUGCUCUGAGGUUAAGCUACGAUCAAUUGCCGCCUGACCUGAAACGAUGUGUUGCUUAUUGUUCAAUCUUUCCCAAGGAUUAUCAAUUUCAUGGUGAUUCUUUGGUUCAAUUUUGGAUGGCUCAUGGUCUUCUCCAAUCCCAUAAUAAGGAGUUAGAAGAUAUUGGUAUGCGGUACGUGAAGGAAUUACUAUCAAGAUCUUUCUUCCAAGAUUUGACUAUUGGGAUGUUAGGAAUGGAGACGUUCUCUUUCAAAAUGCACGACCUUAUGCAUGAUCUUGCUCAGCAAAUGGCCAAAGAUGAAUUCCUAGUAGUGAACUCUGAUUGUCAAUCUAUUCCCAAAAGUGUCCGUCAUUUGUCAUUUGCUACUGCUAAUGCAUCAAGAAAUGACUUUUCAAGCCUUUUAUCUGAUCUAAGUCGUGUGAGAACCAUUUUCUUUUCAACUGAUGAUGAGAAGACAAGCCAAUCAUUUGUUGAAUCAUGCAUCUCAAAGUCGCAGUUCCUGAGAGUGCUAGAUUUAAAUGGCUCUGCUAUUGAGGUUUGUCCCAGAAAGAUGGGUAAUUUGAAGCACAUGAGGCGUCUUGAUCUGGCGGGAAAUUCUAAAAUCAAGAAACUUCCAAAAUCCAUUUGCGAGCUACAGAGUUUACAAACACUGAAUCUUGAAGGAUGUCUGGAGCUAGAAGAGUUGCCUAAAGACAUAAGGUACCUUGUUAGUCUUAGAGUGUUAGGGCUAACCACAAAACAGAAGUCUUUGCAAGAGAGUGGAAUAAGGAGCUCGAGUUCUCUUCGUUGGUUCUCAAUUUCUAAAUGCAGGAAUUUAGAACAUUUGUUCGAGGAGAUAGAUCAAUUAAGUGUCCUUCGAACAUUAUUAAUUGCUAAUUGUCCUCGUCUAAUCUCAUUGCCACCUGCUAUCAAAUAUCUCAGCUCAUUAGAGACUCUGAUGUUGUGGAAGUGUGAAAGCCUUGAUCUUAAUCUGAACGUGGAAAUGGAAGGUGAAGGAAGUCAUCAUGAUUGCAAAAACACAAGGCCUCACCUUUGGAGGGUUUUCGUCGUGGAAAUAACACAGUUAUUAGAACUGCCGCAAUGGCUUCUUCAAUGUUGUACUGAUACUUUAUGGAACUUGGUUAUUGGAGAUUGUCCCAACUUCAUGGCACUGCCAGGGUCUCUAAAAGAUCUCAAAGCUCUUGAAACUCUUACCAUUCUAGGAUGUCCAAAAUUGUCAUCGUUGCCGGAGGAUAUGCAUGACGUCACAACUCUGAAAUGAUUGACCAUUGCAGGAUGUCCUGCACUGAGUGAAAGAUGCAAACCGCCAACAGGUGAAGAUUGGCCCAAGAUUGCACAUAUCCCUCAGGUUCAUCUUGAUGGCGAGAUGAUUGAAUCAAGUGAUAAUUAGGUAUGGAUUUUUUUUUUUUCAAUAAGCGUACCACUCUGUUAUAUUUCCUCUUUUCAUGCAGCUUUCUAAUUUUUAAUUUCUCAUACAGCUAUACCGUUUAUAGUUUAAUGUUUUGUUAUGUUUACCAAACGAAAACUUGACUUUGAACGUUAGUUAGUUCAAUCAAAUUUGUACUAAUUUAUUUUCUUCUAAUACAUAAUUAGUUUGUCAGUACGAAAAACAAAAAUAAUAUUUUGGAAACCGCACUGUUCUAGGGGUCAGAUCUGUUUCUAAAUUCAAACAGUUCAGGAUUUUUCAAAAUGGAACUUAUAAUGAGAUUUUUUUUUUUUAAUUAUCUAGUUAUCUUCAUAUGGAAUUUCAAUCUUUGUUAAUACUUUAACUUGCGCCGAAACAUCUGACUAUUCUUCCUCUUGUCCUUUUUUUUCCCAAAUAUUGCAGCUUUCUUGGGAGAGGUUCAACCAAACUGUAGGGACAGUGAAAAUAUUACUCUAAGUUACAAGUAUUAUAUAUUCGUUACUUGUGGUUAUGUAAUUUGCUGAUAAAUAAGUACAUUGAGUGAGGUAUAUGUGUGUGCCUGUGUGGUCAUUACUGAAUUUCUCAGUAAUAUAAUUUGCAUUGACUGCAGAUUUGUGAAGAACAUUGAUGUGUUGUGUAAUGGGAACGGUGGUGUCUGUAUUUUGUGCUUUGUGAUUGACGACUUACAUUUGCCCAGGAAGAAAUGAAAACAAAUCGGCUUCUUGAAAUUAACCAUUUAUUCUUUCGAAUGGUAACCUUUUUGUGACAUGAUUCGCAUAUUCAUCAAACGCAGUUGGCAAACUAAUUAGAUAUUGCAUCGUGAUUCGUGGCCUUGAAGUGAAAUGCACUUGUUUUGAUUAAAAUUCAAUGACUUUCUUCGUAUUAAUCAAAUUAAUUAAUUAAUUAUUUUGGUAAAAAGAAUUUGCCAAUUUUGUGGCGGUCUUGAGACCCUUGACGGUGGUGAAAUUGAUUCACGGUUUCAAAUGAAGACAUGCAGCGGAUGCGUGCGUGCCGUAUGACAUCGAUGAAAAAGUAAAGAGUUUGAUUUCUCUAUUUUACCCUUAAUUAAUCGUUGACAUCUAAUUUUACACUCCCAACAAAUUUGAAUGAAACAAUCCUAAUGUUCACUUUCUUCUUCGAUUUCAUUUUACGACUUAACAAAAUCUCACAAUGGAGAUGCUCCUGAUGAGGGGAAGGAGAAGAAGACACAGCGAGUUCGCAAGAACGUGUACAGAGGAAUAAGGCAGGGGCCAUGGGAGAAAUGGGCAGCUGAAAUUAGAGACCCUUACAAGGGCGUCCGCGUUUGGCUCGGCACAGCCGAAAAAGCUGCAAGAGUUUAUGCUGACGUCGCCAAGAAUAUCCGUGGCUCGACUUUGCUCACCAGCCUCCAGUAACUCCACCUCCAGGUAAGAAACGCUUCGUGCUAUCCCGUGAGUUGACUCACCCGAAUUUCGGAGAUUACUUUUUUAUUGGUUUUCAUUGAUUUCUUUUCCUGCUCUUAUCUACGAGGUUGUGCUUUCCCUUGGAUGCCCUUUAAUAAACAGCUUUCUUAAUAACAACUGAAGCGAAAAGUCAUUUUAUCAAAUGAUUUGGUGAAAUUUCAAGUACUUUCAUCUUGGUUUUUGCAGUUAAUAGGAAAUAGUUUGGUGUUGGGAUGUGUUAUAUGUAUCAAGUUCUUAUUGCUGGUGAACAUUACUGGUUUGUUUCUCAUAAUCGUUAUCCAGUCAAAGCAAACGUUCGCCUCUCACAUUGACGGUUAGGCUAGAUGUUUGACCCUGAAUAAGAUGAUUGAGUUUAUUAUAGUCUUCUUAUAUUGUCGGUUCAAUAUCAUUUUGAAAUAUCACAUCAAUUCCGCUUUUGGAGUUUUAAUCCAUGCCAAGUUACACCUUUAUUUUACUUUUAAGCUGCAACAUUGAGUCACAUUCUUUCUCUGUUAUUAUUACGAUUAGCGACUGGUACAGUGGUAUUUGAACUGCAUAGCGUGUCAACAUUCACUCUAAAUGUCUUAGAAACUCUGUCUAUCACUAAUUUCCUAGAACAGGCCUCGUUGACAGUCAAAGAUUUGAGGCGUAUUUCUGGACUGAAGGCUUUUCUCUAGUCAAUUUGAUGAUAAGCGCAUUUAUUAUCUCCAGCAUUAAGCAGUAAUUUGUAACUAGUAGUAGCCAGUACCUAAGAUGUUGCAUUUGACUGUCUUCUCUUUCUGGUUCAGUUUCGACCUUUGGAGCUGUUUUAGACAUGGUAAAGGAUAGGUAAUUUCUCUCUACCCCACCCCCCAAUGUAUCAUUAGUCAUCAUUCGUUCUGGUUGGUGGAGAUACACAUACUAAUUUGGAUUAUUGUCCGUGCCUUCGUCUUUUGUCAAUAAUCUUUUGCAUUUCAGGAUUAGUACAGCUUGUCUACUGGUAAUACUCUCUCAAGUAUACAGGGAAGACUUUGUUACGUUUUCUUGACCCGUAAUCUAAUGUUUUAAGAUGAAGGCAUAAUUGAGCUAUCUUGCAUCUCCAUGCAGGCCUGGUUUGGUUUUUGUGUCACUACCUGCAUUAGAUAUUGGUAGUCAAUGGCUGCAGAUGUACAGGUACCUUUUCGUUUCCCUGACAUAAUCUCAUGUUAGAUGAAAUUGCUCGUCGAACUGGGAGAUUUUGUAUUUUUUAUUUUUUCAUAAUUACUAAAGAAAAGUGUUACUUUCGUUGGGAAAAAUGCCUACCACUCUUUAUCUCUGUUGCAGUACAUUCUUAACAGGAAAAACUAGACAUAAAGAUGCAAAAGACAGCACAAAUUGGCUUUUCAAAGCCUAUUAUGGGAACCGGAUGUUUAUGGGUUAUUGUUGUGUGGCGUGUGAGGUAAUUGUAGCUUUCCGUGUUAUUAUACAUAUCAGGAUUUGCAAAUGUUAUCAGUACUUUUUACCUGAUCCAACUGUUUCAACCCUGCAGCUUCUUUACCUAAUCCUAUUUCUUAUUGCGGAGAAGCAGAGGGAAAGCUUGGUGGAUGUAGGCUCUCAUUUUCUUACUAUUAGAUUGUUCUGAAAAUAGAUAUAUUUCCCCUGUUUCUCGAUUUUCAAACAAUUUCUUCUUUCAGGUUGUGGCGAGUGCUGUGCAACAGGGUUCGCCUCUUUCCUUCCUAGUUGCAUCGAGUUUAUUCGCAUGGGCGCAAUCAAGCAAACGAUUAAUGUCGUACAGGUAACUUCAACCCCAUAUGAUGGUAAUGUUCGUUUAAAUAAAUUUCUUGAUGUCUACAAAUUAAGGAAACCUUUGUAUGGGUAAAGUUGACAUUUUACACUGGCAUUAUGGGUCUUGAAAUCGGUAUGUUUUAGAUUCACAUGCUGUGAUAUGCUCUAAUGUUAAAACUCAAACCUCUUCUGUAUGUUAAAUGGAUUGUCGUGGAUAUGCCUGGGAUGAUCAUUUUCUUCGUUUUCACUCAUCGUCUUUGUCAUUGUAGUUAUAAUUGAUUGUGGAGAGUGAAAACGCACUGUGAUGAAUGAAUGCAAAAGCUAUGUAAUUAAGACUACAUUUAUUAGGUUGGUGACCACAAAUAAUCGGAAGGAUAUUCACAAUAGUGUUAUUGAAGCUCUAUAUGGAAUAAGGAGACCAAACCUGUAUGUGAUAAGAGUUGUAUGAAUACCAAAUGAAUUGUCAGAGGAUAUGGUUACUUUAGAUUGCAAUUUAAGAAUGCUUGAGUUCUAAAAGCACAGAAGUGGGAUCAGUCUCUUGCUCAAGGGUAAACUCCUUCGUCAGUUAGUGAACUGUCCAUCAAAAGUAAAUAUUUAUGUGAUUGAGAGAAAUUUUGGAUUUUUGAUGAAAACAAAAAUCCUGUAUGCAUUUGCUUGCCCCCAAGGAGCUGAAGAUUCUCAAAUUGUUUGUAGACGUAAUAGUUCUUCUGAUAUCAUUUGGCUUGCUAAUCUUUCUUGCUAAAAAAUUUACCCGUUGUGUGGUCUUGAUGGUGGGUGAAAUUGAUGUGUGGUUUCAGAUGAAGAUGGCAGCAGAUAUGUGUGUGCCAUAUGACAUCGAGAAAAAGCAAAAGCCUUAAAGAGUUCAUCAACAUUUUCCAUUCAGAAGAAUCUGUUUUGUGGUUUUCAAUAUAAUUGAAGAAAUGAUGUUUGUACUGAUGCAGAUGCAGGAACUUUACACAUCUUAAGUUUACGAGAUAUAUAUAUAUUUUUUUGACUCUGUUAGAUAGCUGUCAGUUAGUUAACCAAUUUAUGUUACUCUUCCUUGGCUAGCCAAUUAAGAACUUAUGUUUGCUGCAUUGUAAAGCCUACAUCUGGAAGCCACAGCUGAUUUUAUUUGAAGGCAAUUUGUACUAGGCUAUAUGCGGAUUUCUAUCUUGAUUUCUGUAAGCUUGAAGGAGAUUUUUUUAUGCGUGAGAGCUUGAAAAUUAUACAUGUACAUGUUGAAACUAUUGGAUAUAUGUUAAGAAUCAAGCAUAAUUGUGUCAAGAUGAAACCAUAAUUUGGGUGCUGUUUUAUGAGUAAACUAUCUGCAAUUUGGGUGCAGUAAACCUAGGUUGAAUACCAGGACAUGGUAUAAAAGUGAAAUCACACAUUGAAUCUCGCAUAAAGAUUUUAAAGAUGCAAAUUCGAAUUGUACAUGAGAUGUUAUCUUGAUCGAAUUGCAGCGGCUUUGUUUUGGAUCCAGAAAACAAAAUUGUAGGCAUAGAGAAGUCUCUAUGGGAUGCUUAUAUUAAGGUGCAUAAUGGCCUCAUUGAGUUUUGUGCUGUUGUUCUACGUUGUUUGAGUUUUGUGCUGCGGUUCUUUGUUGCUGCUUUUGCUACCGAUUUUGGCUAUUUUCUGCCACUCUGUUAUUUGCUAUUUUUUACUACUUUCGCUGCUGAUUUUUGCUGUUUUCGCUGCUUUAGCUGUUGUUUUAUCUGCUGUUUUUUUUUACUGCUUUUAUUGUUAAUUUUUGCUGUUCUCUAUCGUGUUUUACCCACUGGUUGUCGCAUGUUUAUUAAUAUUGUUUGCUGCUGUUUGAUUUGCUGUUUUUUGCUGCUAAUUUUUUUUUCCUGUUUUCUGCGGUUAUUUGCUGCCGUUGCUGUUUUACUCGCCAGUUGAUGAUGUUUUGUGGUUCUCCUCCUCGAAUGCCUACAUUUUCCAGUGUGCAAGCAUAUCUGUUGAGAGUGGCUGAUGAAAUCACUAAACUGUUACAGUUGAUCUCAUGCUUCUCUAGAGAAGGAAUUAGACUUAUUUUGGUGAAGGGGUUUUUUCUGGUUUUUAUAUCAGUGUGUGCAUUUCUUCAAUCACGUAGCUUUGUGGCAUUACGAUCGAUAAUGGCAACUCCACAAUGAUGAUAAUGAUAAUUUUGUGAUUCAGACACGUUGUUAGGAAUUCUGUAUUGGUUUUUCUCUCGCCUUCGCUGUCUACAAUGAAGCAUAUAAUGGCUUUUAAUCUGCAACUGCUGCAAAAUGGACUCACUAGCUAGCAAAUAAUAAUAUAUAGUGCUGUUGUUAGAGUGCAAUUUAUGCACUAGUUUUGCAUUGUUUACUUCUCUUAAUAUCGAUGUUUUGCACUUAAUAAUAGUGAUUUACUUGUGUUUUACUUUUGUAGGUGCAAUUCUAUUGAUUAGUGAUAAAAUUGAGCUACAAGAUGAUGUUUAAGGAUGAUUGUUCUCUUGGAGAAAUUAUGAGCGGCAGAAGAACUUUGUUGAUAAGGCGUGGGCGCGUGCUGUCAACUGCGAACCUGCAGUUUUUAGUUUAACGUGUUUUGUAUUUUUGGUUAUUUUUGUAAUUACGAAUUUAAUAUUUCAGAUAUUAGUAUUUUAUUUUAAAUAGAAUUCUAGAGUAGAAGAGAGAGAGAGUAUUUAAGGGGGGAUUUGGAUGGGAGAAAAAGAAAGAAACCCUAGAUCUAAUUUUUCUCUUCUCUCUAUGAAGAGCUAAACCUAUUUUUCUGGUUGAAGGAUAAUGAAGCUUUGAUUCAUCACUACUGUGAGAUCUUUCUUGUGCUUUAAUUGUUUUAUUGCUUUUUGGGUAUUUGUUUAUUCUCUGAAUUAUUUUCAUGAUUAUGUUUGUUAAUUAGGUAAUUGGUCACUAUUUAAUUAUCAACUUAAUCUAUUGUCAAUUAAAGGACUCAUCGUAUGAAGAAUUUAAUGUUUGUGAUAAAUAACAUAGCAGAGAGUUGUGUUGUGAGAAUAAACAAUCUAAUUUAAAUGAAUCAUCAUAUGUGUUGAUUAGAAUUUGGGUCUCUCUGGUUUUUCAGGCUGUCAAUUGAUUAAAUCCUAUGAUCGUAUCUAGGGUUGUCUAUUGAUUAGGGAAAUAACCAAUGGUCGUACCUUGGUUAUCGACUAGUUAAGGAGAGAUUGGCUAUUAGAGGGUCUCAAUAGCUAUAACCGGUCUAUUCAUGAGUAAUAAUAAUCUAUAUUUGAAUCAAUGAUCAGUAGUCGAAUCAAGCUGAGUUAAUUCCUUCAACCAGAGCUUUCUCCAAUUUGAAUUACAACUUCAAUUUGCAUUCUUGUUAUUUUUAAUUUGAUUUUUAUUAUUGUCAACAAUUCCCCCAUUUUACGUUUUACGCUUCAAAAGGAUUUAAAUAAUUACCGAUCUCUGUGGACACGACCCUACUCAAUCACUAUACACAAUUUAUUUAGAGUAGGAAUUUAUUUUUGUUGGCUUCGACACCCAUCAAAUUUUGGCGCCGUUGCCGGGGAUUGGUGUCAUUUAUUUAAUCCUUUUUACGUUUUACUUGGUGUAUGGUUCGUUCUUCUCGUAGAGGUACACUUUCGUUUGAUCCUAAAAUUGAGAAGACAGCUCGCCAGUUGAGACAGCAGACGAAGCGAGCUAAGCAACGAUCCUCAUCACCUUUGCUUUCUGAAAUAGAUAGGGUGCCUGAUUUAGUUGAAUCAUCUAGUGAUUCAGAAGAACAAGUGAUGGAUAGACCUGCACCUGUAGAAAGAACUCUUAGAGAGUUAGCUGAACCAGACUUGAAUCAGCAACCACUCUGCAUUCAAUAUGUAGAUUUGGAGGUAAAUUUUGAAUUAAAGUCUGGUCUUAUUCAUUUAUUACCCAAGUUUCAUGGUUUUGCAGGUGAAGAUCCUCAUAAACAUCUUAAGGAGUUUCAUGUUGCGUGUUCAAGUAUGAGACCACAAGGCGUGACUGAAGAGCAGAUUAAGCUGCGUGCUUUUCCUUUCUCUUUAGAUGGACUAGCUAAAGAUUGGUUAUACUACUUGCCUCCUGGAUCGAUUACAACGUGGAAUGGUUUGAAGAAGCAGUUCCUCGAGAAGUACUUUCCUGCUUCAAGAGCUGCCAACAUCAGAAAAGAUAUUUGUGGGAUCAGACAACUUCCUGGGGAGACUUUGUAUGAGUAUUGGGAGCGAUUCAAACAAUUGUGUGCCAGCUGUCCUCAGCAUCAGAUUUCUGAUCAACUUCUUAUUCAAUAUUUUUACGAAGGAUUAUCAUUGAUGGAUAGGAGUAUGAUAGAUGCUGCUAGUGGAGGCGUGUUGGUGAACAAGACCCCUACUCAAGCAAGGGAGUUGAUCUCAAAUAUGGCUGCCAAUGCACAACAAUUUGGCAGCAGACAAGAUGCCACUUCAAGAACGGUGAAUGAGGUAAAUAUUUCUUCUGUUGAACAACGUUUAGAUAAACUUACUUCUCUUGUGGAAAAGUUUGUUGUAGGUAAUGUGCAACAGGUGAAGACUUGUGGCAUUUGUUACAAUAUGGGUCAUUCAACUGAUAUGUGUCCUACACUUCAAGAAGAACCCGUUGAACAAGCCAAUGCAGUUGGAGGAUUUCUAGGCAUGCCUCAGAGGAGGUAUGAUCCUUAUGUACAAACAUACAAUCCGAGAUGGAAGGAUCAUCCCAACUUCAGCUAUGGAGUUAGGCCGUCAGGAUUCCCACAACAGUAUCCACCAAGACAACCAACACCUCCACAAUCAAACUCCAAGUCAGGUAUAUCUCUUGAAGAAAUUGUUAAAUCACUUGCGACUAACACUCAACAAUUUCAGCAGGCAACUACAACAAGCAUUCAGAACUUGGAGAACCAAAUGAGUCAAUUGGCGACUACAGUGAGCCGUCUGGAGUCUCAAGUAUUAGGGAGAUUGGCUUCACAAUCUGAGGUGAAUCCAAAGAAAAACGUUAGUGCUGUCAUCCUUAGAAGUGGGAAGGAGUUGCAAGAGCCUAGUAAGAAAGUGACAGAGCAUGUAGAAGAUGAGCUUGAGAAGAAUGAAUUGAUGCCUCAAUCUCAAGAUGCACAACCCACCGGAGCGAAACCCCUACCUAUUGUGAUACCUCCUCCUUUUCCAAGCCGGUUUGCAAAAUCUAAGAAGGAGGAACAAGAGAAAGACAUCCUUGAGACAUUUCGCAAGGUUGAGGUAAAUAUUCCUUUAUUAGAUGCUAUAAAACAAAUACCUCGAUAUGCUAAAGUCCUUAAGGAACUGUGCACCUCCAAAAGAAAAUUAAGAGGAGAUGAAAAAGUUCACAUGGGGGAGAAUGUUUCAGCAGUUCUCCAAAAGAAACUACCUCCUAAGUGCAAGGAUCCAGGUAUGUUUACUAUCCCUUGUAAAAUUGGUAGUGUUAGAGUUGAAAAUGCUAUGUUAGAUCUAGGAGCUUCUAUUAAUGUCAUGCCUCGUUCCAUUUAUUCAUCUUUGAAUGUUGGUUCAUUAAAAGAAACUGGCGUGAUAAUUCAACUAGCUGAUAGGUCUAAUGCAUAUCCUGAUGGGGUAUUAGAAGAUGUCUUAGUACAAGUUAAUGAGUUGGUUUUUCCUGCUGAUUUUUAUGUACUUGAUAUGGAAGAUGAUAACUCCUCUAAUUCUGUCCCAAUUUUGCUAGGAAGACCUUUUCUUAAGACUGCUAGGACUAAAAUGGAUGUACAUAAAGGGACUCUCACUAUGGAGUUUGAUGGAGAGGUUAUAGAAUUCAAUAUGAAUGAUACCAUGAAAUAUCCUAGUGAGGAACAUUCGGUAUUUUCUGUGGAUGUUAUUAACCCUAUAGCGCAAGAAAUUUUUUACAAGGAAAAGACGAAGACAUUUCAUGAUAGAAUGAUUUUGAGAAAGGAGUUCUCUGUUGGUCAAAAAGUUCUUCUUUUUCAUUCUAAGUUUAAACUUUUUCCGGGUAAAUUACGUUCUUGCUGGGUUGGACCUUUUAUUGUUACUAAUGUUUUUCCUCAUGGUGCAGUUGAGAUUCGGAGUCCGACCUCUGACAAAGUUUUUAAGGUUAAUGGUCAUCGCUUAAAACCUUUUUAUGAAGGUUUUUCGGUGAAUAUUGUGGAGGAUGUGGCUCUCGAGAGUCCCAAUUAUGGAGAUUGAUGCAUAAAUGUGUCUAGCCAAAGACAUAAAACAAAUGCGCUUUUUGGGAGGCAACCCAAAUGAUUUAUUUAUUUUGGUUUUUGUUAUAUCUUCUUUUAAUUUUGAUUUAGAUUUUUUUUUAAAAUAAUGUGUUUGCUUAUUUUGGCCAGAAGAAAAUUUUUGAUAAGGCGUGCCCACGUCUUAACUAAAAAAUACUUCUAUAAUUUUUAAAGUAAAAUAGUUUUAAGGCGUGCCCACGUGCUUAUUAAAAAAAUACUUCUAAAAUUUUUGGUGUCUCAAAGUGUUUCAUCACUAAAAAAAAAAAAUCUUUUUUUUAUUUAAUUUAAUUUAUUUUUAAAAAAAAAAACGAAAAAAAGAGAUUUUCUUUUGUUCUUUCUUUUAUAUAUUUAUUUAUUUAUUUAUUAAAAAAAAAACCAAAAAUCGAAAAUCAUUGUUCACAAAUCCCUAAUUCAAAAAUUACUGUUGAUUAUCGUUUUACAGCAGCGCGCCUCAGCUCCAGCCUUCACCCCGCAACGCAAGCAGCAGCCAGCGCGAACCAGUCGCGCGCAACGCAACCCAGAUUCUCAACUCCAGCCGCACGCAACGUAGCGAGCAGCAGCAGACCAGCAGCGUAAACCAGCUCUCGCACGCAACACAACGCGAACGCAGCAGUGCGUAGAUCCAGCCCAGCAACGCAGCGCGAACCAGCAACGCGAACCACCAGCGCGCAACGCAAGCCCCUGCGCGCGCAGCACCAGCAUCCCGUGUCUCGCAGCCCAGCAGCGCGCAACGAAGUCCCACCAGCGCGCAACGCAGCGCAGCACCCGCAAAGCAAGCCUCACCAGCGCGCAACGCAAGCCCGCAACGCAGCAACGAGCACGCCCUGCAACGUAACCAGCUUACGCCCUGUAUUCCAGCAGGGUAAAUCGAAAUCUGUGAGUGCAAUUAUUGUAACAAUGCCGAAGAGGAAAGCAUCCACUUCCAAGUCAUCGAAAAAGACACCCAUCGCAAAGAAAUCUAAGAUUGCCGCUCCCACUACGGUUCCAUGGAACACAAUUUCAGAUUCACGCUAAGCCGUGAGACAAAGAUCGAAGCAUGGAAAAGGCAUGAGUAUUUUGUCACUUGCGGAAUCCAAUCUCGGAGGGUGCCUCGCAUUCGCGACUCAACAAGAGAAAGAGAGGUACAAAGAUAUUUCCACGCGCAAAAUACUUCCAGCUAAGUAUAUUCAUUACCCGACUCUUGAAAAAUUGAAUGUUAAGGAUAAUUUUGAUUCUUUGAUAGAUAAGAUUGGGUUGCGUAAAUUUGUUGAUGUUGAUUGUUUGGGUUAUGUUGAGUUGAUUAGGGAGUUUUAUGCUACUUUUCAAUUUACUAUGCCGAAUGAUUUUACUUUGUAUACCCCGGAUGUCAUUAAGUUUAGGUUAAUAGAACGAAAUUUUUCACACUCUAUCACGGAUUUUAACCUAGCUUUAGGAUUCAUUGAUGAUGAUUAUUCUAUUAGUGAUGAAUAUUUAGGAACAACUUGUGACUUUAGCGAAAAUUUUGAGCCUUAUGGUCUUUGGCGUAAUUUAUCUGUUGAUCACAAUGCCUAUGACCCGAGUAAAUCAAAGAGUUCUUUCUUACGUGAUCCUGUUUUGAAAUGUGUGCAUCGAUUCUUAGCAUAAUUUUUUAGGCAAGAAAGAUCACUCAGGAAUUUUCUCUAAAACUGAAUUUUAUUUUAUCUGGUGCAUGUUAAAUGAUGUGAAGCCUAAUUUAGGUUUUUGGUUAGCGGAUCAAUUUCAAAGUGUGCUUAAACGGUAUAGGACUUUAUUUCUUGGUCCAUACAUUACUAUGCUAGCUAUAAACCUAUGUGUGCUUGAUCCCGACAAUAAUGAUUUGCAUCCUGCUUGCAAAAAGGAAUUUUUGGAUAUGUCUGUGUUUGAAAGAACAGGUGUGGUCGAAUUCAAGGAGGGGAGAUUUCAGUUUAUUGAACCAGGACCCACUCAACUUCCGAAGAAGCUUUAUGCUAGGAGUGGUACUACCUCUGAUGACGAGUUUGACGACGACACUGCUGCCCCGUCAACUAUUCCUUCUACAUCCGCACCACCUUUGAGCAUUUAGUUAGAGAAAAUGGAGCACAAACUGAACAAGAUGGAGCAGAAUUUGGCCGCAUACUUCGAGAGUGUGGGAUUUACCCCACCAUUUCCGCCAAACCCAUAGACGUUAUGUGGAUCAAAGCUCACAAUUCAGAGAAGUUUCUUUUUGCCCUUAAUCUUUUAUCCUUACGCUUUAAUUUUUAUGUGAGCUUUGAUUAUCUUACAUUGGGGACAAUGUAAGUUCUUGGUGUGGGGGAGGGAUUUUUGCAUUAUUGAUGUCUGGAAUUAUUGUUUUCACUCUACUCAUCUAUUUUCACUCUACUCAUCAUUAAAUGAUUUUGGAGUUAGUAUGCUUCAUAUAUUAUUAAUUUUCUUUUCCUCUUUCUCUCACUACUCUUUUCCCAUCUAUCUCAAAUUAUUUACAUCUAUUUUUAUUCUAUCAUACUCUUUCAUCACUCACAUUUUAUCUUUCACUUUUCAUAUUACUACAUACAUCUUUCUCACUUCUUAUUAUUUUUACCUUUUCUUUUAUAUAUCACUCAUACCUUCUUCUUAUUCUACACCACUAUUGAUGGUUGAUUCAUUUGAAGAGUGUACAUGAUUUGAUGGCAAAUUUACCAACUUUGUGAGGAUUUGAGCCUAUGAGCAACCACUUUGCUCUAAUAUUUUUUGUUAUGUGAAUAUCAAUCUUAGUUUGUUUAUUCUAGAACUUGCUUUGUUAUGCAUGUUGAAGCUGCAUUACGGGAUUUUAUGCAUUAAAAUGAUAAGGGCAAACCCUUUUCCAUUUUUCUAUUCUCGCCUUUUUUUUUCUCUACACGAAGACCUUUAUUUGCUACCUUUGUUUGAGCCUUAACCAUUUUUCUUCUUUUGAGCCUCGAUUUAAGGAGAUUUUUGGACUCAUUGUGUGAAUAUAUUUUGUUGCUUUUUCUACCUUGUAUUAAAGUUUCUCAAUUAGAUCAACAAGCAUUAUGCUUGAAUUAAAUUGUGCAAGGUUAGUUUCUUUUGUUUGAUUCAAAAACAAAAAAAAAAAAAAACAAAAACAAAAAAAAACAAAAAACAAAAACAAAAAAAAACAAAAAAAAAGAAAAAGAAAAAUAAAAAAAAGAAAAGAAAAAAAAUAUGUUUACAUUCUUGGUGACUUGAGUAGAAAUAAGCAUUUUGAUAUCAUAAGUUCAUUCAAUGAGUUCAUUCUUCUCGUUUUGAUCUCGUUUUCUUUCGUAGACCUUUCUUUUUCAUUUCACCCAUUUAACCCCAUUACAACCCUUUUAAGACCCUUAGAUUUUUGCAUUUUAUUCAUGCUUUGUGGAUUGAGAUGUGAUAUAUGAGCAAGCUUAUGGUAAUAGCAUUCUUUGAUUUGAUUUGAGUGGAUAAAUGACACCCUAAACACUUUGAGUGCAAGGAGUGAAGUUAUUGAGAGGGCUAUUAAAUCUUGUUGCACUUGAAUUUUGAAUGGAUCUUCUUGGUGGUUGAAUGUUCUUAUUCUAUCUUAUGAAAUUCUAUGCUUUAAAAUCCUUGUCUCUCGAAUGUUGAUCGACUUAAUUUCUUGAGGUAUGCUUGCUUAAAAUUGUUUUUGGAUGAGUUGAGAUGAGAAUUGAGUGGAGAUUUGAGAUUAAUCUUGAGUUAUAUGCUUGAGGACAAGCAUCAUCUUGGUGUGGGAGAAUUUGUUAGAGUGCAAUUUAUGGACUAGUUUUGCAUUGUUUACUUCUCUUAAUAUCGAUGUUUUGCACUUAAUAAUAGUGAUUUACUUGUGUUUUACUUUUGUAGGUGCAAUUCUAUUGAUUAGUGAUAAAAUUGAGCUACAAGAUGAUGUUUAAGGAUGAUUGUUCUCUUGGAGAAAUUAUGAGCGGCAGAAGAACUUUGUUGAUAAGGCGUGGGCGCGUGCUGUCAACUGCGAACCUGCAGUUUUUAGUUUAACGUGUUUUGUAUUUUUGGUUAUUUUUGUAAUUACGAAUUUAAUAUUUCAGAUAUUAGUAUUUUAUUUUAAAUAGAAUUCUAGAGUAGAAGAGAGAGAGAGUAUUUAAGGGGGGAUUUGGAUGGGAGAAAAAGAAAGAAACCCUAGAUCUAAUUUUUCUCUUCUCUCUAUGAAGAGCUAAACCUAUUUUUCUGGUUGAAGGAUAAUGAAGCUUUGAUUCAUCACUACUGUGAGAUCUUUCUUGUGCUUUAAUUGUUUUAUUGCUUUUUGGGUAUUUGUUUAUUCUCUGAAUUAUUUUCAUGAUUAUGUUUGUUAAUUAGGUAAUUGGCCACUAUUUAAUUAUCAACUUAAUCUAUUGUCAAUUAAAGGAUUCAUCGUAUGAAGAAUUUAAUGUUUGUGACAAAUAACAUAGCAGAGAGUUGUGUUGUGAGAAUAAACAAUCUAAUUUAAAUGAAUCAUCAUAUGUGUUAAUUAGGAUUUGGGUCUCUCUGGUUUUUCAGGCUGUCAAUUGAUUAAAUCCUAUGAUCGUAUCUAGGGUUGUCUAUUGAUUAGGGAAAUAACCAACGGUCGUACCUUGGUUAUCGACUAGUUAAGGAGAGAUUAGCUAUUAGAGGGUCUCAAUAGCUAUAACCGGUCUAUUCACGAGUAAUAAUAAUCUAUAUUUGAAUCAAUGAUCAGUAGUCGAAUCAAGCUGAGUUAAUUCCUUCAACCAGAGCUUUCUCCAAUUUGAAUUACAACUUCAAUUUGCAUUCUUUUUAUUUUUAAUUUGAUUUUUAUUAUUGUCAAUAAUUCCCCAAUUUUACGUUUUACGCUUCAAAAGGAUUUAAAUAAUUACCGAUCUCUGUGGACACGACCCUGCUCAAUCACUAUACACAAUUUAUUUAGAGUAGGAAUUUAUUUUUGUUGGCUUCGACACCCAUCAGCUGUCAAAUUUAUAAAGAUUAUAUAUACACACACUUUCGUGUUCAAUGCACCGACACUAGAUGUAUAUUGGCAUUUAGAAAAGUUGGCGAUAACUAAUGACUUUCAAGAUUAAUUAAAUGACAAUAUUCAGUCUAUCAUAAAACAAGUUUUCAACAAGUGAAGAGGAGGUACUCUUUAUAAUUGGAUAAUUAAUGCAACCUUCAAUGUUUUCAACCAAAAAAAAAAUGAUAUUUGAUAUGUAUUCAACAUUAGGGAAAAACCUCCCAUAUCGAAGGUUUGCUUAAACGAUCAAAUAAAUUCACUUAGUUUCGUAAAUGGUUGUACAUAUCCUCUUUUUGACUAUUUAUUGGGUUAUGUUUGAGAGUUAGGACUAAGUGUGGGAUUAUACUAACUUUGAGAUUAAAUAUUAUUCUAUAUUUAGCAAUUUUCCUUGGAUUGGAUUAUGAGAGACUAAAUUCUAAGUUAGUUGUUAAAUAAAGGGGAUUGGCAAUACCAAUUUAUAAAUAGAUUUAAAUGGGAUUAGAAUAAGGGGAUAAAAUGUUCAUUUGUAAUAUUUCUUUCAUAUAUAACACCAUCUUUUAUUUAUUACUUCAAAUUUAAUAAAUGAAUUAAUUAUUUUAUUCAUGAUUUACUUGAAAUAUAUUUUUUAUUUUGUUUUUAUAUUCUAAUUAAAUUGGUACUUUAAUUUAAUAAUUUUUUACAUUAAUUGAUUGUACUAAAUUUAAUAAUCACCAAUGUGAUAUUAAAAUAUAAUUAUGAAAAUUAAUAAUACUAGUAAUUAAUUGAUUUUAUAUAUUAUUUGCUAAUUUUUUGAUAAAAUAAAAUAUAUAUCUAAAAUAUCUAAAUAAUCAAAAAGUUUUAUUAAUUUAUAUUUUUUAUUACAAUUAUGAUUACCCAUAAGUAAUUUACUGUAUAUUUAAUGUUCUUAUUAAUUAUAUUUAAAUUAAUCUUAAUUAUUAUUCUUAAAUAUUCAUAAAUAGUUUUUUAUUUAAAUAUAAUUUAAUAUUGUCUAAUCCAAUGUUGUACUAAACAUAAGACAGUAGUGUAUAAUCCAACAUAAUACUUAGUCCAAUUUAGUCUUGCAUGCCAAAUGUAAUCUUAUACACUUUGAUUACAACAAGCCAAUAAUUGACUUAAAUAAACUUCUAUAACAAUUAUAAGUUAAAAUUAAAAUAGUAUGAUAUAUAAAAUAAGAUAAAAUUUAUAAAUUAUUUUGAAUAUUAGAAAAAUGAUUUUAACAUUAUUAAUUUGUCAUAUUCUUUUACUACUAAUAAAAUCUGUUUGACAAAUUAAUAAUAUUAAAAUAAUUAUACCUAACAUUCACAAUAAUUUAUAAAAUUUAUAUAUUUUGUUAGCAAAUGUUUUAAUUAUGUCUAUAUUAAUAUAAAUCUUAAAGUCAAUUUUUGGAUUAAUAGAUUUUAGUAUAUAUAAUAAUAACUUAAUAUUAAAAAUAAUUUUCAUUACAUACGUUAUUCUAUUAAUUAUCUUAUUGUAAUAUUUUAUUUGUAUCAUAUGAUGUUUAUUAAUUAUUUUUUUAUCUUAUUACUAUAUUUAUAUUUAUUUGUGUUGUUGUAAUCAAAGGGUAUAGUAACUAAAAAUGUGUUUAUGUGACUAUUUAACCUAAAGGGUCUUUGUGACCAUUUAAGUAAACCUUGGAAAUGUGUGACAAUAGUCAUUCUAAUGACUUUCAAGAUUGAAAGUGAGUCGGAUUAUCAAAUUAUGAAGCAUUAAUACAUAAUGUUUUAUGGUUAUUUUAAAGUUGAAGUUGGUUUAUUCAUUAAACAAGCUUUUAACAAGAGGAGAAAGUUCCCUUUAGAAUUUAAUAAUUAAUACAACCUUCAAUAACAAAAAAGUCAUAUAAUAAGGAUGAUGAUUCUUGCUCACUUGGAUACAUAUAUAUAACCUAUGAUGUGGUAAGCAAGGUAUCAAUUAUGUAUUUCUUGUAUCUGAAAAAAUGAAUAAUCCUUUAACGAAGGUUAUCAUCAAUUGCAGGUUUCUAGUUUGGCUGCUUAGUUUUAGGACUACGAAUAUUACAAUAUCAUAAUUAAAGGAAAGAAUAUAUGCGGUAGUCUUUGCCUGAUCUACUUUCUUCUUCUUAAUUAACCACUUAAAAGGAAAGAAUAUUGUAUACGCAGCACACUAUAAUACUCUAAUUACCAAUUCUUUAUCUUAUAAUAUAAGUUCAUAGUGAUUAAUUUGCCCUUCUCCAGCAAAAAAACAAAUCCCAUUUCAGCACAUCUACAAGAGCCCUCAUUUCUCUUUGCUCCAGCCAAUUGAUAGCAGAAUCAUCACAGACACCUUGAGCUCCGUCAAUCAUCAUUGACAAUUGGUGACUAGUGGGAGCAUUACAAGGAUGGUACGACGAGUACAAACUGAUAGAUUUGUUUAUAUGAAUCGGCUGUAGUUUUUAUAUAUGGUUAAAUUAUGACAAUAAUCAAGAGAUAAUCAUGUACCUCAUUAGUUUCAUAAAUGUACAUACUAAUUUAUUCCCCUGCUUGCCAGAAUCAAACAUGUAGAAUAAGAUAAAUUUUAAGAUUUAAAAUUUUCAAUUCAUUAAAAAUCUAGUGGGAUAUUAAUCGGUAAAACCACUUAGGGGUAGUACAAGAGGUUUGUGGUGCUAACCAAUUUAUGUGAGUGGAGAAAGAAUUAGGCUUUUUUAAUAAAAAUUAAUAAUCAUAAUAAUAAAAGGACAUAAAUUUCAAGAUUUAAAACUUUAGACUUCAUUAGAAGUAAGAGGGGGAUCGUAAAAAAAUUGAAUGUAACUUAUCGGUAGUGGAAUGGAUUUUUUUUUUUUUUGGUUGCAGCUAUUUACACACCUUUGAACACAUGUUAGGGUGAGGGUAUUUCAGUAUUUUACCCACAUCUCAAUAAAAUAUUUUGAGGUGAUGCUACCACUAAACAACUCAUUAAACUCAUUUACUUAAUAAACACACUUCUAAAAUUUAAAAUGCACAAUUUUAUUUUACAAACCCAUUAAUACCUAAAAUACCCUUAUUAAGUUAAAUUAUCACAAUUUCUCUUAUCAUUUUCUUUUCCCAUCAUUUCUCCGUUUCUUCACUCUUUUCUUCUUCAUUUUUGGAGCUUUACCCAUAGCUUUUUUAUUCCAAAUUCUCAAACUUUUUAUUUUAUUUUUUAAUAGCUAUUUUUCCCGUUGAUAUUUCAUGCGUUUAUAUGAUUCAGCUAUAGUUUUAACUUUUAUAUAUGGUCAAGUUAUAACAGUAAUCAAGAGAUAAUCAUGUUCAUCAUAAGUUGCAUAAAUGUACAUACUAAUUUAUUCCUCUACUUGCUAGAACCAUACAUAUAAAAUGAGAUACAUUUUAAGGUUUAAUCUUAGGGUUGGCAAUAAGCUCCGGAUCCAGCCCAGAUCCGCAACAAUCCAGAAGAUCCAGAUCUGGAAAAAUACAGAUCCGCAUGCUAAAAAAUGCGAAUCCAGAUCUUAAAAAUCACAAUCCGUGCGGAUCCGGAUGUAAGUGCAUCCGGAAAACCGAAUAUCUGGAUCCACAAUUUUUUAUAAUUAAAUUAUUUAUGUAAUUAAAUUUCAAUUGAAAAAUAGAUAAAUUAUUUAUUUAAAUGUAUAUGCAUUAUUAACUCUCUAAUCUUCAUUAACUUUAAAAAAUAUGUUAAUAAACUAAUAAUAAUUAUAAUAAUUAGAGAAUAUUGUAAUAAAUCGGUUUACCUUACAUUUUUUUUAUGUUUGAUUUAUAUUGUGAAAUUAUUGUUUGUGAAUUUAUGGUGUCGUUGUUUGUUAUUUAUGUUGAAUUGAAGUCAAAUUGUUGAUUCUUACUUAUAAUUGAAUUUUAUUUAAUAUUCUUAUGUAAAUUAUUAAAUUAAAAUUAUAUUUAAAUUUAUUAUUAUGCAGAUCCGAAUAUCCGGAAUAUCCGUCCGCAAUCUGUGCGGAUGUUAUCCGCAUCCGGAUUCGUAUUUUUUUUUUGCGGAUCCGGAUGUCAAAAGUUUAAUCCGGAUCCGGAUGCACUAAGAUCCGGAUCCAGAUCCAAAUUUUGCCAUCCCUAGUUUAAAACUUUGCAAUUCGUUAAAAAUCUUGCGGGAUAUUAACCGAUAAAACCACUUAGGGAUAGUAUAAGAGGUUUAUGAUUUCUCAACCCAUUUAUGUGGGUGGAGAGAGAAUCAAGUGUUUUUUUAAAUAAAGAAUAAUUAAUAAUUAAUAAUCAAAUUAAUAAAAAUAAAUAAAUUGUAAGGGGGAUCGUAAAAGUUUUGUAUGUAACAUAUCGGUAGUGGAAAGAAUUUUUUUUGGAGAGGCUAUUUGGCUUGGAACAUAUAUUACAAUACUCUCUUCAUCCACUUCUCAAUAAAAUAUUUUAUUAAAAAAUUUUCCUUAAUUGAAUUAUUGUUUUAGCCAUAUAUUAUGUUCGUUUAUCUCCCUAAAGUUUUUAUUCUUUCACCCUUUUUUCUCUUUUCCUCUGUGUCUCCCCAAUUUUUUUCCAGUCCUAUGGGGUUCUUAUUAAAGCUUCUAUUGAGUAAAAUCUCUAUUAAAAUUGCUUAUAAAAAAAAAAAGAAAAAAAGAAUGGGUCUCUUUUAAAAUUUGUCUUUCCUUCCUUUACCCUUGAGUUACUAUUAGAUGUAUAAGCUCAAGAUGAGACUAGUAAUUGGAUUUCCAUUAAAAGUUUUAAUUUCAAAAAAUCAAAAGAUCACCAUACAAAUAUCAAAAGAUCACUAACUUAAUUAUACUGGUAAUAAUUAAGAUAAGUAAAAGACCUACUAUUUCUGUUUGAUGUUAUUAUGAUAAAGAAAAAAAAAAAUAGCAAGUUGCUGCAGUUGCAACAAUUGAGGAUAUGCUAAUAAAAGUGUUACAGAGAUAGAUUUAAUUGAUAAAAAUAAGAUUUUAAUAAAAAGUAUUGAGAGAAACAAUUAAUAAAAACUAAUGAUAUUUAUUAAGGGUAUAUUAUGAAUAUUUGUGGCCUUUUUUGAGGUAACUAAAUAAAUUUUAAGUUGUGAUAAUGUGUUUAUUACAUAAGUGGAUUUAUUCAGUAUUCUAGUGGAUUUAAAGAGUUUCAACUCUCAUAUUAUAAUAAAUUUUUAUAUUGCUACAAUUGCCCUAAUAUAGUGGACAAUAUUAUAUUGUACACAUAAGAAUACUCUAGCACGGUAGCACCCAAUUAAAAUUUUUAGUAAAACAUAUAAGAACUCUAAAUGUAAAGAGAAUUCCGUCAAGGUAUUGCAGUAGUAUUUAAUGCUCUUGGCUAGUGUAAACUAUUGUGCCACAUGUAGUAUUUCGAUCCUGACAAGUGCAUUACAAAUAAUGACUCUUAUUUCAGGUCUUUUAGGUACUUUAGAGAUAUAUUAGCUCUGGAGCUAGUAUUAGGUCAUAACGUGCUUCUUUUAAUGAAAGAUGUGGUUCAUUUUUCCCUACACCAAAGCAUUUUCUGUGGAAUAACCGUGUCAAAUGCUCAUUUAUCAAGGGCACGUGUGGUGUUGUCAGUAUGAUAUGCUAACCCACGUGCACUUAUGGAAAAUCAAAUGAGAAAAAUGAAUUAAAAAAUGCAAAAGCUAAUUAAUAAUGUUCGAGUUUGAGAUGAAGAAUAUUUAAUUUUAUGGAUAUAAAGAUAAGAAAGAUUUAAUGAGAACUAUCCUAAUAUUAAAAUACUAUUUAAAAUAAAUUUUAUUUGACGUAAUAGUAUGUCUCAUAAUAAGACUCGUAGUGGUCAGAAUCGUACAUGUAAAAUGAGAUAAAUUUUAAGGUUUAAAACUUUGCAAUUCAUUAAAAAAUCUAGUGCGAUAUUAAUUGGUAAAACCUCUUAGGGGUAGUACAAGAGGUUUAUAAUUCCCUAAUCCAUUUAUGUGGGUGGAGAGGGAAUUAAGAGUUUUUUAAUAAAGAAUUAAUAAAAAUUAAUAAUCUUGUUAAUAACUUAUUGGUAGUAGAAUGGAAUUUUAUUUGGAGAGGCAAUUUGGCUCAGAACAUAUAUUAAAAUGAGGAUAUUUGAACCCGCCACAAUACUCUCUACAUCCACUUUUCAAUAAAAAAUUUAUUACAAAAUUUUCCUUAAUUAAAUUACUAUUUUAGCCAAAUAUUACGUUCAUUUAUCUCCCUAAAGUUUUUAAUUUUUAACCCUUUUUUCUCUUUUCCUGUUUGUCUCCCCAAUUUGUUUCUAGUCCUAUGUGGUUCUUAUAUUUUAAAGCUUCUAGGAGUAAAAUCUCUACUAAAAUUGCUUAUCAAAAAAAAAAAUCUCUUUUAAAAUUUGCCUUUUCUUUACCCCCAAGUUAUUAUUAGAUGUAUAUGUUCACCGUGAAAGUUUAGAUCUCAAACCUUUUCUGUAUCUUAAAUGGAUUGUCGUGGAUAUGCCUAAGAUGAGCAUUUUCUUCCUCUUCACUUCAUCAUCUUUGAUAUAGUAAUUAUAAUUGAUUGAGGAGUGUUAAAACGCAUUGUGAUGAAUGAAUGCACAAGCUAUGUGAUUAAGACUGCAUUUAUCAGCUGGUGGGCGACCGCAAAUAUUAGGCAGGUUAUUCACAAUAGUGCUACUGAAGCUUUAUAUGGAAUAAGGAGACCAAACCUCUAUAUGAUAAGAGUUGUAUGAAUACCAAAUGAAUUGUAAGAGGAUAUGGUUAAUUUAGAUUGCAAUUUAAGAAAGCUUGAAUUCUAAGAGCACAGAAAUGGGAUCAGUCUUGCUCAAGUGUAAACUCCGUCAGUUAGGAAGCUGUCCAUCAAAUGUAAAUAUUUAUGUGAUUGAGAGAAAUUUUGGACUUUUGUUGAAAACAAAAAUCCUGUAUGCAUUUGCUUGCCCCCAAGGAUAUAUGUUGUGCAAGCAUAUAUGUUGAGACCGGCAGAUGAAAUCACUAAACUUUUACAGUUGAUCUGAGGCUCCUCUAAAGAAGGAUUUGGAUUUUGGAAUUAAUUUGGGGAAAGGGUUUUUUUUUGGGUAUAUGAGUGUAAGCGUUCCUUCAAUCACGUAGCUUUGUGCCAUUAACAUAAUGGCAAUUCCACAAUGGGGAUAAUGAUAAUUUUGUGAUUGGGAACUCUUUACUGGUUUUUCUUUCGCCAUCUGUGUCUAUGAUUAAGGUUGUUUAAAGUGUUAUGGCUUUUAAUCUACGACCAUUGUGAAAUGGACUCACUAGCUGGCAAAUAAUAAAACAUAGUGCUGUCAAAUUUUGUAAGGAUUAUGCAUACACACUCUUUCGUCUUCAAUGCCCUAAAACUGGGUAACUACAUGUAUGAUUUUCAUUCAGAAAAACUGGCAAGAACUAAUGACUUUGCAGAUUAAAAAAUAAGUAGGAUUAUCAGAUUAUGUAGCAUUGUUAUGUAAUGUCUUGUGGUUUUUUUAAGGUUAAAGUUGGUUUGGAAAUUAAUUAAAAGACGAUAUUCAUUCUAUCAUGACGAGUUUUUAACAAGAGGAGAAGGUUCCUUUUAUAAUUUACUAAUUUAUACAGCCUUUAAUAUUAAAACAAAAUUUUAUAUAUUAAGGACGAUGAUUCUUGCUCACUUAGUAAGAUAUGUACAUAACAUAGGUUUGUUAAGCAAGGAAUCAAUUAUGUAUUUCUUGUAUCUGAAAAAAUGAAUCAUCCUUUAACGAGGGUUAUCAUCAAUUGCAGGUUUCUAGUUUGGUUGCUUGGUUUGAGGACUAUGAAUAUUACAUUGUCAUAACUAAAGGAAAGAAUAUAUGCCAUGGCCUUUGGCUGGUCUACUUUUUUCUUUUCAAUUAACCUCUUGCGGGGAAAGAAUAUUGUAUAACACAGCACACUAUAAUUACCAAUUCUUUAUCUUAUAAUAUAAGUUCAUAGUGAUUAAUUUGUCCGUCUUCAGCCAAAAAAAAAAAAGUCCCAUUUCAGUACAAAUACAAGAGCUCUCAUUUUUCUUUGCUCCGGCCAUUUUAUAGCGGUGUCAUCACAGACACCUCAAGCUCUGCCGAAUCAUCAUAGACAAUUCGUGAUUGGUGGGAGCAUUACAAGAAAGGUACGACUACUUCAAACUGAUAGAUUUGUUUGUAUGAUUUAGCUAUAGUUUUAACUUUUAACAAUAAACAAGAGACAAUCAUGUACAUCGUUGGUUACAUAAAUGUAGAUGCUAAUUUAUUCUUGUACUUGCCAGAUCCAUACAUAUAAAAAUGAGAUAAAUUUUAAGGUUUAAAAAAUUUCAAUUCAUCAAAAAUCUAGUGCCAUAUUAAGCGGUAAAAUCACUUAGGGUUAGUACAAGAGGUUUAUGAUUCCCCGACCCGUUUAUAUGUAGGGGUGAGGAAGGUAUUAGGCAAUAAAGAAUUAGUAAAAAUUAAUAAACAUAUUAUAAAAAGAAAUAAAUUUCAAGAGGGAUCGUAAAAGAUUGUAUUUAACUUAUCGUUAGUGGAAUGGAAUCUUUUUGGAGAGGCUAUAUUUGGCUUGGAACAUAUAUUAGAACAAGGUUAUUUGAACCCACCGCACUCUCCAAAAUCCACUUCUCCAUAAAAAAUUUCAUUACAAAAUUUUUCUUAAUUAAAUUACUAUUUUAACCAAAUAUUAUGUUAAUUUAUCUCCCUAAAUCUUUUAUUUUUUUCACCCUUUUUUCUCUUUUCCUAUCCGUCUCCCCAAUUUUUUUUCUAGUCCUGUGUGGUUCUUAUACUUUAAAUAGUGGCUCUUAUUUCAGUUCCUCGUAGGCACUCUAGAGACACACGUUAGCUUCGAAGCUAGUAUUUGGUCAUCAUGUGCUUCUUUUAAUGAAACAUGUGGUUCAUUUUAUCCUUAUAUGAGAGCAUUUUGUGCGGAAUAACCAUGUCAAAUGCUCAUUUAUCAAGGACACGUGUUGUGUUCUCAGAACAUAGUAAAAAUAUGAUACGCUAACCCAUGUACAUUUAUGGAAAAUCAAAUGAAAACAAAGAACUAAAAAAAAGUACAACGGCUAAUUAAUAAUGUUUGAGUUUGAGAUGAUUAAUAUUUAAUUUUAUGGUUGUAAAGAUAAGAAUAAAAGUACGUCUAGUGAGGACUAUCCUCAUAUUAUAACACUAUUUAAAAUAAAUUUUGUUAUAAAAGAUUUUAUUCAAUUAGGUAUAUAUUUUAGGUACAAACUCAGCUAUUUGACAUAAUAGUAUGUCUCAUAAUAGGACUAACAUUUGGUCAAAUCAACCUAUUUCAAUAAGAUCCAUCGAAAUUAAUAUUUAAAAGAUUUAUCAUCUCAUUAUACAAUACACAACUUUGCCAUCUAGUAGAGAAUGAUUGGUUGGCACACCAUAGUUUACAUAAAUAUUUCUAAUAUUUGAAUCAUUUGUUAGGAAAUUUUAAUCCUACCAAUAUCUUGUAAGUAAACAUAUCAAAUAAAUAGUAAAUAGAUAAUAUAUAGAGAAUAAAACCAAUCAUACAACACAAUAAUUUACCCGAGAAAAAUUCCUAUACUAGAGAAAAACCACGGCCGCCAAAGAUGACGAAAGAAAAUCCACUAUGUAAAGAUCAUUACAAUCACUCUAGUAUUUUCUUCACUUACAAAACCCCAAUAACAAAUAAUCUCUCAUUCUAGAAACUGUCUACUUGUAUAGAACUAAUUAUUGCAAACAAGUGAAUCUAACCUUCUUAUAUAUUGUGAUUGUUUCAUAUAAGAGAAGUAUUUAUUUCCUUAUAUAGUUUGUAUUCCUCCUUUAAUAAAUUCUUUGGAAUUACUUAUUCCUUAAACAUGAACCCCCCAAACAAAAAAAUUACUAAAUAAAAAAAUUCUAGGAAAUAUUUUAAUUUAGGAUUUACAAAUCCUCAUUGAAAAAGGAGAUAUGUUUCUUUAAAAUCUCCACUUUGGCGAGUUUUUUAAUUAAACGACAAAAUAUGAUCCGCCAUACAUCUAUGCAACCAUGCCGUCUCCACCUUCUUUAGUCUACUAAAACCACACUGACAUUGGACUAAUGAGAAUCACUCCACCAUGAGUAAAAUCUUGUGCUCUAUCCAGCAGCCAUAAUUUUCUACAUCGAGAAUCAUCAUACUUCACAUUAUCCAGAGUACACAUGUUUGGCAUAUGUCGAUCACAUUUCCGAAAUUACCCACUCUCAUGUUUGGCUUCUUUGAGAGUCCUCAACGAUCAAGAUAAAAAGUCCACCACAUACCUUGCAUAAAUACUAAACUACAUGUUGUGUGCACAUCUUGUGGACCCAUUAGCAAUAACACAUCCUCUUCCACGACACACCAAUAGAUGACAUAAUUAGUAUCUCCUUCUAUUAAUUUACAGCUACUUUCCAAAUUGGCUAUAUUCUAACAAUCUCUUUUAAGAUGUUUUGAUUACCUACACUCCUCCAGGGGUUUCUACUAGUGGAAUAGGCCUGACAUUGCUCUUUGCUUUACUUGUAUAGACAGAUUGAAUCAAUAUGUUAUUGACUUGAGCUUCCCAAAAGCCAAAAUUAAUUAUUCCGUCAAACUUUUCUAUUUCUAUCUUCAUAAGUUUUGAAAACCUCCUUGCUGACGUAUUUGCUCUACAUUGCAGCCUUAGCUCUAUUAUCACCUGCUAAGAAAUAAUUAAUCUCACCUAAGAUUUGCAAGAAAAAAUAUGAAAUAAAUAGUAAAUAGAAAAUAGGUGGAGAAUAAAGCUAAUAAAAUAAUACAAAAAUUUACAUGAAAAAUUUCUAUAUUGGAGAAAAAUUAUAAUAGCUAAGGACGAUAAGAGAAAAUUUUAUUAUGUAAAUAUUAUUAUAAUUACUCUAGGGUUUUUCUCACACCUAAAACACCAAAAGCACCUAAUUUUAAUAGAACUACUUUUCUCUCACACUGAAAACUAUUUACUUAUAGAUAACUGAUUGUUGAAUUAUGCAGAGAAGUAAACUCAAUCUCUAUAUAUAUAUGUAGUGAUUAUUUCAUAUAGAAGUUGCAUUCUUUUCCUAAUAUGAUUUGUAUUCCUCCUUGAAUAAGGUAAGUUCUAAAGAGAAAAUUACUUAUUUCUUAAAUAUGAAUUAUCUUCAAUAAGAAAACUGAAAAGUGUAGAAAAUUCCUAAUUUAAGGCUUAAAAAUCUUAUUUGAAAAAAGAGACAUCUCCCAAUAUCCUCAAAUCCUCCUUACAAUGCCACCAAUCUCUUUUGUGACUAGCCCAGUUGAAACUUUUAAUGGAUGGGCUGUAAUUGCGAAUAUCCAAAUAAAACAAAUUUCCAUAGGUAUAUUGGUAGAUUGAAUGACAACUAACAACACAUGAUUUGAUUAACUUACUUCCAAAAAAAAAGAAAAAAAAGAUACAAUGGAUGAACAUUAGACUCUUGUGCCAACUCAUGGAAUUCAUCAAUAAGGCCUUGGCUGAUCCACCUCAUGACUGGUAGAGUUCAAACCCCCGCUAAAUAGUAAAAAAAUAUUUGGAUUAUUAAUUACUCUUUCUUAAGUCUAUUUAAACUUAACUUUGAGAAUUAUGAACGUCUACACUAUAAUUAAAACAAUACAAGCCCACCCGUUUGUAUUUAAAAUUUUGUUUGAAUUUAUUCACGAGCAACAAGAAUAGUAUAAAUGGAAAAAAAAACCAUCAAAUAAUAUCCCAUGACUCUGUUUCUUCAAUUUCAGGAGCAAUGGUGGAAUCAUAUUUUCCGAUUGAAAAACUUUUGGAAAAAUUAGGGAGCUUUGCUUAUGAAGAACUUUUAUUGUUCUGCGGUGUCAAAAAUGACUUACAAAAGUUAAAGGAGACGUUAACCACUGUCAAAAGUCUGGUUUUGGAUGCUGAGGAAAAGAAAAUCCAUAAUCACCGGUUAAGCGAUUGGCUGGGAAAACUUAAGGAUGCUUGUUAUGAUGCAGAAGAUGUGUUGGAUGAAUUUGAGGUGGAAGAUCUACGAAGGCAAGUCAUGAAGCAAAGAAGCAUCGGAAGAAAGUUUCGUAACUUUUUUGGAUGCUCAAAUCCGAUAGCUUUUCGUUUUAGAAUGGGUCAUCAAAUCAAGAAAAUUCGAGAGAGGUUUGAUGAGAUUGCAAAAUUGAGGGGUGAGUUUAAUCUCAUUGAACGACUUGACGAUCAUCGGCGAGUUGUGCACAAAGAAAGGGAAUCCACUCACUCGUUUGUGCUUUCAUCAGAUAUUAUUGGAAGAGAUAAAGAUAGAGAAAAGAUUAUUGAACUAUUGAUGCAAGCAAGUUCUGGCGAAAGUGAAACUCUGUCUGUUAGUCCUAUUGUGGGAAUUGGAGGUCUGGGCAAAACUGCUCUUGCACAGUUGGUGUUCAAUGACCAAAGGGUAGAAGAGCAUUUUGAGUUGAAAAUCUGGAUACGUGUUUUUGAGGAUUUUGGUGGGAGACAAAUUAUGAGAGAGAUUAUGGAGUCGAUCAUUGUACAAAUUAUGAGAAAGUGUGCGUUCCUAGGUGACUUGAAUACACAACAAUUGCAACGAAUCUUGCGAGAUCGUUUGAAUAGUAAGAGAUACUUGCUUGUUAUGGAUGAUGUAUGGAACGAAGAUCCUGAAGCAUGGCGUAAAUUAAAAAGCUUAUUGUUGGGAGGUGCUAACGGAAGCAAAAUUUUGGUAACCACACGUAGCAGGAAGGUUGCUUCAAUCAUGGGCACGAGGGGAGGUACUACUGGCUACAACUUACAAGGUCUACCAUUCGAGGAUUGCUUGUCUUUGUUUAUGAAAUGUGCAUUUAAAGAAGAGCGAGAUAAACAUCCAAACCUCAUAAAAAUCGGGGAAGAAAUUGUGAAAAAAUGUGGGGGAAUUCCUCUGGUAGUCAGAGCACUAGGAAGUCUAUUAUAUUGCUCAACGGAUGAACAUGAUUGGGAAUAUGUGAGGGAUAAUGAGAUAUGGCAGUUAGAGCAAAAGGAAAGUGGCAUUUUACCUGCUCUGAGGUUAAGCUACGAUCAAUUGCCGCCUCACCUGAAACAAUGUAUUGCUUAUUGUUCAAUCUUUCCCAAGGAUUAUCAAUUUUAUGGUGAGUCUUUGGUUCAAUUUUGGAUGGCUCAUGGUCUUCUCCAAUCCCAUAAUAAGAAUAAGGAGUUAGAAGAUAUUGGUAUGCGGUACUUGAAGGAAUUACUGUCAAGAUCUUUCUUCCAAGAUUUGAUUUUUGGGAUUUCAGGAAUGGAGACUCUCUCUUUCAAAAUGCAUGACCUUAUGCAUGAUCUUGCCCUGCUAGUGGCCAAAGAUGAAUUCCUAGUAGUGAACUCUGAUUGUCAAUCUAUUCCCAAAAGAGUCCGCCAUUUGUCAUUUGCUGCUGCUAAUGCAUCAAGGAAUGACUUUUCAAGCCUUUUAUCUGAUCUAGGUCGCUUGAGAACCAUUUUCUUUUCAACUGAUGAUGAUGAGAAGACAAGCCAGUCAUUUAUUGAAUCAUGCAUCUCAAAGUCACAGUUCCUAAGAGUGCUAGAUUUAAGUGGCUCUGCUAUUGAGGUUUGUCCAAGAGAGAUGGGUAAUUUGAAGCACACGAGAUAUCUUGAUCUGUCGAAAAAUUAUAAAAUCAAGAAACUUCCAAAAUCCAUUUGCGAGCUACAGAGUUUACAAACACUGAAUCUUGCUGGAUGUUUGGAGCUAGAAGAGUUGCCUAAAGACAUAAGGUACCUUGUCAAUCUCAGAUUGUUAGCGCUAACCACAAAACAGAAGUCUUUGCAAGAGAGUGGAAUAAGGAGCUUGGGUUCUCUUCGUUGUUUGUCAAUUUCUAGUUGCUGGAAUUUAGAACAUUUGUUCGAGGAGAUAGAUCAAUUAAGUGUCCUUCGAACAUUAUCAAUUGAAAGUUGUCCUCGUCUAAUCUCAUUGCCACCUGCUAUCAAAUAUCUUAGCUCAUUAGAGAAUUUGUAUUUGGCUAGCUGUGAAAGCCUUGAUCUUAAUUUGAACAUGGAAAUGGAAGGUGAAGGAAGUCAUCAUGAUCGCAAAAACACAAGGCCUCACAUUCGGAGGGUUUUCAUCAAGGAAAUAACACAGUUAUUAGAACUGCCACAAUGGCUUCUUCAAGGUUCUACUGAUACUUUACAGAACUUGUUAAUUCUUGGUUGUCCCAACUUCAUGGCACUACUAGAGUCACUGAGAAAUUUUGAAGCACUUGAGGGUCUUGUCAUCAGGAAUUGUCCAAAAUUGUCAUCGCUGCCAGAGGAUAUGCAUCACCUCACUACUCUGAAAUCAUUGGCCAUUGCAGGAUGUCCUGCACUGAGUGAACGAUGCAAACCGCCAACAGGUGAAGAUUGGCCCAAGAUUGCACAUAUCCCUGAGAUUUUACUUGAUGGCGAGAUGAUUAAAUCAAGUGAUUAUUAGGUAUGGAUUUUUUUUUCAAUAAGCAUACCACUCUGUUAUAUUUCCUCUUUUCAUGCAGCUUUCUAAUUUUUAAUUUCUCAUACGGCUACACCGUUUAUAGUUUAAUGUUUUGUUAUGUUUACCAAACGAAAACUUGACUUUGAACGUUAGUUAGUUCAAUCAAAUUUGUACUAAUUUAUUUUCUUCUAAUACAUAACUAGUUUGUCAGUACAAAACACAAAAAUAAUAUUUUGGAAACCGCACUGUUCUAGGGGUCAGAUCUGUUUCUAAAUUCAAACAGUUCAGGAUUUUUAAAAAUGGAACUUAUAAUGAGAUUUUUUUUUAAUUAUCUAGUUAUCUUCAUAUGGAAUUUCAAUCUUUGUUAAUACUUUAACUUGUGCCGAAACAUCUAACUAUUCUUCCUCUUAUCCUUUUUUUUUUCCCAAAUAUUGCAGCUUUCUUGGGAGAGGUUCAACCAAACUGCAGGGACAGUGAAAAUAUUACUCUAACGUUGUUCAGAACAGAGCUUCAACGGUUUUAAUGUUGUGUUUUAAAGUUACAAGCAUUAUAUAUUCGUUACGUGUGGUUAUGUAAUUUGCUGAUAAACAAGUACAUUGAGUGAGGUAUAUGUGUGUGCCUGUGUGGUCAUUACUGAAUUUCUCAGUAAUAUUAUUUGCAUUGACUGCAGAUUUGUGAAGAACAUUGAUGUGUUGUGUAAUGGGAACGGUGGUGUCUGUAUUUUGUGCUCUGUGAUUGACGACUUACAUUUGCCCAGGAAGAAAUGAAAACAAAUCGGCUUCUUGAAAUUAACCAUUUAUUCUUUCGAAUGGUAACCUUUUUGUGACAUGAUUCGCAUAUUAAUCAAAAGCAGUUAGCAAACUAAUUAGAUAUUGCAUCGUGAUUCGUGGCCUUGAAGUGAAAUGAGUGAGCAUGUUUGUGGAGGUUUUUGUUUUUGUUUUUUUUUUCCUCCAUAUAAAAUGACUAAUUCGAAAGAAUAUGUAUUGUAAUAGAACCUAGAACUUCUAUGUAUUUUAGGAUGAAAAUUCUGUACAAUAGAAAAUAUUAAAACGAAAAUUAAAGUUGAUAUGAGAAAAUUAAAGAAGCUUGCAACUGCAAUCUAGCUCGACCUACUAUAUAUAUAUAUAUAUAUAUAUAUAUAUAUAUAUAUAUAUAUAAAAUUAAUUGAUCAGGUAAGAUAGAGAGAGACUCUCGGACUCUUUACAAGGAGCAAAAAUGGUAUGAAACUCUGUUUUGAUUAAAAUUCAAUGACUUUCUUCGUAUUAAUCAAAUUAAUUAAUUAAUUAUUUUGGUAAAAAGAAUUUGCCAAUUGUGUGGCGGUCUUGAGACCCUUGACGGUGGUGAAAUUUAUUCACGAUUUCAAAUGAAGACAUGCAGCGGAUGCGUGCGUGCCGUAUGACAUCGACGAAAAAGUAAAGAGUUUGAAUGAAACAAUCCUAAUGUUCACUUUCUUCUUCGAUUUCAUUUUACGACUUAACAAAAACGAGAUGCUCCUGAUGAGGGAAAGGAGAAGAAGACACAGCGAGUUCGCAAGAACGUGUACAGAGGAAUAAGGCAGAGGCCAUGGGAGAAAUGGGUAGCUGAAAUUAGAGACCCUUACAAGGGCGUCCGCGUUUGGCUCGGCACAGCCGAAAAAGCAGCAAGAGUUUAUGCUGACGUCGCUAAGAAUAUUCGUGGCAACAAGGCCUAGCUCGACUUUGCUCACCGGCCGCCAGUAACUCCACCUCCAGGUAAGAAACGCUUCGUGCUAUCCCGUGAGUUGACUCAGCCGAGUUUCGGAGAUUACUUUUUUAUUGGAUGCCCUUUAAUAAACAGCUUUCCUAAUAACAACUGAAGCUCUGUCGAAUCAUCAUAGACAAUUUGUGAUUAGUGGGAGCAUUACAAGAAAGUUACAACUACUUCAAACUGUUAGAUUUGUUAAUAUGAUUCGGCUAUAGUUCUAUAAUUGGUGAGUUUUUGUGGGUUUGUUUGAUUUUUUUUUGUGGGUUUGUUUCUCAUAAUCUUUAUCCAGUCAAAGCAAACGUUCGCCUCUCACAUUGACGGUUAGGCUAGAUGUUUGACCCUGAAUAAGAUGAUUGAGUUUAUUAUAGUCUUCUUAUAUUGUCGGUUCAAUAUCAUUUUGAAAUAUCACAUCAAUUCCGCUUUUGGAGUUUUAAUCCAUGCCCAGUUACGCCUUUAUUUUACUUUUAAGCUGCAACAUUGAGUCACAUUCUUUUUCUGUUUUUAUUACGAUUAGCGACUGGUACAGUGGUAUUUGAACUGCAUAGCUUGAACUGCAUAGACUGUCUUCUCUUUCUGGUUCAGUUUCGACCUUUGGGGCUGUUUUAGACAUGGUAACGGAUAGGUAAUUUCUCUCUACCCCACCCCCCAAUGUAUCAUUAGUCAUCAUUCGUUCUGGUUGGUGGAGAUACGCAUACUAAUUUGGAUUAUUGUCCGUGCCUUCGUCUUUUGUCAAUAAUCUUUUGCAUUUCAGGAUUAGUACAGCUUGUCUACUGGUAAUACUCUCUCAAGUAUACAGGUAAGACUUUGUUACGUUUUCUUGACCCGUAAUCUAAUGUUUUAAGAUGAAGGCAUAAUUGAGCUAUUUUGCUUCUCCAUGCAGGCCUGGUUUGGUUUUUGUGUCACUACCUGCAUUAGAUAUUGGUAGUCAAUGGCUGCAGAUGUACGGGUACCUUUUUGUUUCCCUGACAUAAUCUCACGUUACAUGAAAUUGCUCGUGGAACUGGGAGAUUUUUUAUUUUUUGUUUUUUCAUAUUUACUAAAGAAAAGUGUUACUUUCGUUGGGAAAAAUGCCUACCACUCUUUAUCUCUGUUGCAGUACAUUCUUAACAGGAAAAACUAGCCAUAAAGAUGCAAAAGACAGCAAAAAUUGGCCUUUCAAAGCCUAUUAUGGGAACCGGAUGUUUAUGGGUUAUUGUUGUGUGGUGUGUGAGGAAUUGUAGCUUUCCGUGUUAUUAUACAUAUCAGGAUUUGCAAAUGUUAUCAGUACUUUUUACCUGAUCCAACUGUUUCAACCCUGCAGCUUCUUUACCUAAUCCUAUUUCUUAUUGCGGAUAAGCAGAGGGAAAGCUUGGUGGAUGUAGGCUCUCAUUUUCUUACUAUUAGAUUGUUCUAAAAAUAGAAAUAUUUCCCCUGUUUCUCGAUUUUCAAACAAUUUCUUCUUUCAGGUUGUGGCGAGUGCUGUGCAACAGGGUUCGCCUCUUUCCUUCCUAGUUGCAUUGAGUUUAUUCGCAUGGGCGCAAUCAAGCAAACGAUUAAUGUCGUACAGGUAACUUCAACCCCAUAUGAUGGUAAUGUUCGUUUAAAUAAAUUUCUUGAUGUCUACAAAUUAAGGAAACCUUUGUAUGGGUAAAGUUGACAUUUUACACUGGCAUUAUGGGUCUUGAAAUCGGUCUGUUUCAGAUUCACAUGUUGUGAUAUGCUCUAAUGUUAAAACUCAAACCUCUUCUGUAUGUUAAAUGGAUUGUCGUGGAUAUGCCUGGGAUGAUCAUUUUCUUCGUUUUCACUCAUCGUCUUUGUCAUUGUAGUUAUAAUUGAUUGUGGAGAGUGAAAACGCACUGUGAUGAAUGAAUGCAAAAGCUAUGCAAUUAAGACUACAUUUAUUAGGUUGGUGACCACAAAUAAUCGGAAGGAUAUUCACAAUAGUGUUAUUGAAGCUCUAUAUGGAAUAAGGAGACCAAACCUGUAUGUGAUAAGAGUUGUAUGAAUACCAAAUGAAUUGUCAGAGGAUAUGGUUACUUUAGAUUGCAAUUUAAGAAUGCUUGAGUUCUAAAAGCACAGAAGUGGGAUCAGUCUCUUGCUCGAGGGUAAACUCCUUCGUCAGUUAGUGAACUGUCCAUCAAAAGUAAAUAUUUAUGUGAUUGAGAGAAAUUUUGGAUUUUUGAUGAAAACAAAAAUCCUGUAUGCAUUUGCUUGCCCCCAAGGAGCUGAAGAUUCUCAAAUUGUUUGUAGACGUAAUAGUUCUUCUGAUAUCAUUUGGUUUGCUAAUCUUUCUUGCUCGAAAAUUUACCCGUUGUGUGGUCUUGAUGGUGGGUGAAAUUGAUAUGUGGUUUCAGAUGAAGACGGCAGCAGAUAUGUGUGUGCCAUAUGACAUCGAGAAAAAGCAAAAGCCUUAAAGAGUUCAUCAACAUUUUCCAUUCAGAAGAAUCUGUUUUGUGGUUUUCAUGCUCGAGUGCCUACUUUUCAGUAUGCAAGCAGAGGAUUUGGCAUUAAUUUGGGGAAGCCUUUUUUUUGGGUAUAUGAGUGUGUGCAUUCCUUCAAUCACGUAGCUUUGUGCCAUUAACAUAAUGGCAAUUCCACAAUUGUGAUAAUGAUAAUUUUAUGAUUGGGGCAUAUUGUUAGGAACUCUUCACUGGUUUUUCUUUCCCCAUCUGUGUCUAUGAUUAAGGUUGUUUAAGGUGUUAUGGCUUUUAUUCUGCAAUCAUUGCGAAAGGGACUCACUAGCCGGCAAAUAGUAAAACAUAGUGCUGUCAAAUUUUAUAAGGAUUAUAUAUACAUACUCUUUCGUCUUCAAUGCACCGAAACUGGGGAACCAUCUAUAUGAUUUUCAUUCAGAAAAACCGGCGGGAACUAAUGACUUUCAUGAUUAAAAGUAGGAUUAUCAGAUUAUGGAGCAUUGUUAUGUAACGUUUUAUGGUUAUCUUAAGGCAAAAGUUGGCUUGGAAAUUAACUGAAAGGCAAUAUUCAUUCUAUCAUAAAACAAGUGUUUUUUUCACAAGGGGAGAAGAUUCCCUUUAUAAUUUACUAAUUUAUGCAACCGUUAAUAUUAAAACAAAUUUUUUUUAUAUUAAGGAUGAUGAUUCUUUUUCCCUUAGUAGUAAAGUCUGUAUAUAACAUAUGAUGUAGUAAGCAAGGAAUCAAUUUAUCCCCUAUUUUGUUUUUCUUACUUUUUUUUCCCAAAAUAUUGCAGCUUUCUUUGGAGAGGUUCAGCCAAACUGCUGAGACCGUCAGUACAGAGGUUCAACGGUUUUAUAAUACUGCAUUUUAAAAUUACAUAUAUUAUAUAUUCUGUGAAAUAUGAACUAAAUACUCAGUAUGUGUUAACGCGACAUGUCAUCUGAUAAGCAUUUGAAACAAAAACCGACAUGAGCCAAAAUGUCGUUCUUUGUUUAAGUAACUCACAUGCUUGGCACGUGAGCUGAAGAAACUGGUUUAUCUCUAAAUGACUAAGAAAGAAGUUGUUUUGGGCAUGCUUAAUCAAGACACGUUGCAAGCACGUGACUGAGGCAAGAAGUCUGUUAUGAUUAGCGGGAAAAGCCACUGAGAAGUAAUCCAGAAUCAGUUGAUAAAGAGCUGGGGUUCUGGGUUUUCAAUAUAUAUCAGAAAACUUGAGAGAGAGCAAGAAAGAGGGAAUGCGAGAGAGAGUUGAUUAAAAGGCUUGUAAUCUCCAUUUGUGAUUGUUCUCUGUAAACUCUUGAAAGCAAUAAAGUGAAACCAUAGAGCUUGUUUCCAGUGGAUGUAGGCAUCAUUCAUUUGGUGCUGAACCACUUUAAUCCGUGUGUAUUUUGUGCUUGAUCUUUUUGUUAUUCUUGAAUCUCAGUGGAUUGAUUUCUUCUUGGUUAGUUCUUGAUCAAAACCAGUGAGUUAAGUGUUCUUGGGGUGGGUUUAGUCUUGAUAGAUAGGGCUUAAAACACAACAAAUUGGUAUCAGAGCUACUGCUCUCUGGCUUUAGAUUCAAGAAAUGGGUACCAAGAUCGACCUGGAGAAAUUUAUAGGGCAAAAUGAUUUCAACAUGUGGAAGAUCAAGAUGGAGGCUUUGCUAAUCACUCAAGGUUUGGGAAAUGCCAUCGAACCAGAUUUCAAGAAAGAGGGGCUGGAGGGCUCUUCUUCUACUACUCCUGAACAAGCAGCUGAGAUAGAUAAAAGGGCAAGAAGCACGAUCAUUCUCAGCCUAGGGGAUUCUGUGAUAAGGGAGGUGGCAAAAGAAAGAACUGUUGCAGGGCUAUGGACAAAAUUAGAAAAACUGUAUAUGACAAAAUCUCUUGCAAAUAGGCUGUACAUCAAAAAGAAAAUGUUCUCGUUAAGGAUGAUUGAAGGAUCAUCACUUGAUGAGCACAUUAAUGAGUUCAACAAGGUGUGUGAUGCUCUGGAGACAAUUGAUGAAGGCUUGAGUGAUGAGAGUAAAGCACUACUGUUAAUCAGCUCAUUGCCUAAAUCAUAUGAGCAUUUUGUUGAUGCCCUUUUGUAUGGAAGACAAACACUUUCUUUGGAAGAGGUUAAAUCAGCUCUUGGCACAAAGAAACUGAAAGACAAGCAAGAGAAGGUUGACAGUGAGUCUAGUGAGGGUUUAAUGGCCAGAGGCAGACCUGAAAAGAGGGAAGGCAAAGGAAAGAAGCAUGGAAGAUCUAAGUCAAAACAGAAACAGCUUAAAUGUUUCCAUUGUCACAAGGAAGGGCAUUUCAAGAGGGACUGCCCUGAGAGGAAGUCCAAGAUUAAAGAUUCAAAGGAUAAAGUAGGAAAUGCAGCAAUUGCCACAGAUGAAUCCAGUUAUGAAACAGCUGAAGUACUCAUAGCUUCCAAAGAAAAGAUUCAAGGUGAGUGGGUUCUUGACUCAGGAUGCACCUUCUAUAUGUGUCCAACCAGAAACUAUUUUACAUCAUAUCAAACCUGUGAUGGUGGUAUGGUAUUAAUGGGGAAUAACUCCAUAUGUAAAGUAGUUGGUAUAGGAACUGUGAGUCUGAAAAUGUUUGAUGGUGUAGUGAGGGAAAUCACACAAGUCAGACAUGUCCCUGACCUUAAAAGAAAUUUAAUUUCUGUGGGGAUGUUAGAUCAGAUGGGAUGUAUUGUGAAGGCUGAAAGAGGUGUGCUGAGAGUGAUAAAGGGCUCCAUAGUCAUAAUGAAGGGUAACAAAAACAAUGGCCUGUAUGUUUUGAAUGGACAAACAGUCAUUGGGGAAGCAAGUGUAACUGAGAGUGGUGAGGAUAAAUCUAAGCUCUGGCACUUGAGGUUAGGACAUAUGAGUGAGAAGGGGCUGAAGGAACUGGAAAAGAAAGGGGUGUUUGGGAGAGAUCAGCUGAACUCUUUGGGAUUCUGUGAAGACUGUAUACUAGGGAAGGCUUCCAGGAUAAAGUUUGAAUCUGCAGUUCACACUACCAAAGAAAAGCUUGGCUACAUACACUCAGAUCUGUGGGGACCUGCACAGGUAACCUCUCUAGGUGGCUGUAAAUUUUUCUUGACCUUUAUAGAUGAUUUUUCUAGGAUGGUGUGGGUUUAUGCUCUAAAAACUAAAGUUGAAGUCCUUGAAAAGUUCAAAAGGUGGAAAGUUUUGGUUGAAAACCAAACAAAUCUGAAGGUGAAAGUAUUAAGAACAGACAGUGGGCUGGAAUACUGUAACAAGUUGUUUGAGGAUUACUGUGAGAAGAAUGGUAUUUUGAGGCAUAAGACGGUAACAUACACUCCUCAGCAAAAUGGUCUUGCUGAGAGAAUGAAUAGAAUAUUAAUAGAGAAAGUGAGAUGUUUGCUGAUCCACUCAAAGUUACCUAAAGCUCUCUGGGCUGAAGCCUUAAACACAGCCUGCUAUUUGGUCAAUAGAAGUCCAUCAACAGCUAUAGGCUGUAAGACACUAAUGGAAAUGUGGUUAGGAAGGGUAGCUGAUUACUCUAAGUUCAGAAUUUUCGGCUGUGAAGCAUAUGCACAUGUGAAACAGGGGAAGUUAGAGGCAAGAGCUUUGAAGUGCAGAUUUCUGGGCUAUCCUAAGGGGGUUAAGGGCUACAGAUUAUGGUGUACUGACUUCAAACCUCCAAAGUGCAUAAUCAACAGGGGUGUUACCUUCAAUGAAGCUGAAAUGUUGAACAAAAGAAGGAGUUCUGAGUUUAAAGAAAAGAAUCCAGAAGCUGAAGAUGAUAAGAUUCAGUUGAGGUGAAGCAUGUUGAAGAUAAGAAAUCUGAAACACCUACAACAAAAGAAUCAGGAGAGGUUGAUGAUGGAUCUUAUGAUGAAGAAGGAUCAGAAUCAACUGAGAGUGGUAGUAACACUUACCAACUAGCAAGGGACAGGAAAAGGAGAACAAUCAGACCACCAAAGAGGUAUGCAGUUGCAGAUUUAAUUGUUUAUGCUUUAUCAGCUGUUUUAUUUGCUGUUUUUUGCUGCUAAUUUUUUUUUUACUCUGUUAGAUAGCUGUCAGUUAGUUAACCAAUUUAUGUUACUCUUCAUUGGCUAGCCAAUUAAGAGCCUACAUCUGGAAGUCACAGGUGAUUUUAUUUGAAGGCAAUUUGUUCUAGGCUAUAUGCGGAUUUUUAUCUUGAUUUCUGUAAGCUUGAAGGAGAUUUUUUUAUGCGUGAGAGCUUGAAAAUUAUACAUGUACAUGUUGAAACUAUUGGAUAUAUGUUAAGAAUCAAGCAUAAUUGUGUCAAGAUGAAACCAUAAUUUGGGUGUUGUUUUAUGAGUAAACUAUCUGCAAUUUGGGGGCAGUAAACCUAGGUUGAAUACCAGGACAUGGUAUAAAAGUGAAAUCACACAUUGAAUCUCGCAUAAAGAUUUUAAAGAUGCAAAUUCGAAUUGUACAUGAGAUGUUAUCUUGAUCGAAUUGCAGCGGCUUUGUUUUGGAUCCAGAAAACAAAAUUGUAAGCACAGAGAAGUCUCUAUGGGAUGCUUAUAUUAAGGUACAUAAUGGCCUCAUUGAGUUUUGUGCUGUUGUUCUACGUUGUUUGAGUUUUGUGCUGCUGUUCUUUGUUGCUGCUUUUGCUACCGAUUUUGGCUAUUUUCUGCCACUCUGUUAUUUGCUAUUUUUACUACUUUGGCUGCUGAUUUUUGCUGUUUUCGCUGCUUUAGCUGUUGUUUUAUCUGCUAUUUUUUUUUACAGCUUUUAUUGUUGAUUUUUGCUGUUCUCUAUCGUGUUUUACCCACUGGUUGUCGCAUGUUUAUUAAUAUUGUUUGCAGCUGUUUUAUUUGCUGUUUUUUGCUGCUAAUUUUUUGUUUUCUGUUUUCUGCGGUUAUUUGCUGCCGUUGCUGUUUUACUCGCCAGUUGAUGAUGUUUUGUGGUUCUCCUCCUCGAGUGCCUACUUUUUCCAGUGUGCAAGCAUAUCUGUUGAGAGUGGCUGAUGAAAUCACUAAACUGUUACAGUUGAUCUCAUGCUUCUCUAGAGAAGGAAUUAGACUUAUUUGGGUGAAGGGGUUUUUUCUGGUUUUUAUAUCAAUGUGUGCAUUUCUUCAAUCACGUAGCUUUGUGGCAUUACGAUCGAUAAUGGCAACUCCACAAUGAUGAUAAUGAUAAUUUUGUGAUUCAAACACGUUGUUAGGAAUUAUGUAUUGGUUUUUCUCUCGCCUUCGGUGUCGACGAUGAAGCAUAUAAUGGCUUUUAAUCUGUGCAGAAAAUCAGAAGCUUAUAAAUGGACUGAAAUUCAGCAGAGAUCUAUCAGUCACACACCUUCUCUUUGUCGACGAUAGUCUGGUCUUUACAAAGGCAUCGAUUAACGAUUGCAAAAAUUUAAGAAAGAUCUUUGACAACUAUGCAGCAGCCUCAGGACAUGUGUUUAACUUCGAGAAGUCCUCUAUGUUCUUUAGCAGCAGCACAAGUUCAGGUCAAAGGGAGGAAAUCAGAAGUAUUUUCGGUUUGAAUGUCGUUUCAAAACAUGAAAAGUAUCUGGGACUUCCAUCGAUGAUAGGGAGGAAAAAGACUAGCUUCUUCAACGACAUAAAACUGAGAGUGCUAAGCAAGCUAUCAAGUUGGCAAAACAAGUGUUUCUCAAGUGGGGGAAAAGAAAUACUCAUCAAAGCUGUGGCACAAGCUGUGCCUGCCUAUGCGAUAAGCGUAUUUAAAAUUCCUCAAGGGCUGUGCGAUGAUAUACAAAAGGCUGUAGCAAGGUUCUGGUGGGGAUCAUCCGAAACUCAUAGAAGUAUUCAUUGGGCAAGGUGGGAGAAAUUGUGUCAGGCCAAGAUCAGGGGUGGUCUGGGUUUUAGGGACUUUUCAAGCUUUAAUCAAGCCCUUGUCGCCAAACAGGGGUGGAGGAUUCUACAUAAUCCUGAUGCUUUAAUGUCAAAAAUUUUAAAAGCCAAGUGCUUCAAGCAUACUGACUUUAUGGAGGCAAAAUUGGGGUCAAAUCCCUCCUUUGUUUGGAGAAGUAUAUUAUGGGGGAGACAAGUGUUGCACAAAGGCUUGAGGUGGAGAAUAGGUAAUGGAAACCGGGUCUCAGUGUCCAGCAGGAAUUGGAUGCAAAAACUCGAAUGUUCUAGCUAUGUUCCUCACCAAAAUUUAGCAGAAAAUGUUGUUGUUGCUGAUUUUAUUGACCACAAAAAUCAGUGGAUGGAGGAGAAGGUUGUGCAAUGUUUUCCCGAAGAGGUGGCACAAAGGAUUCUAAGAACCCCUCUGCCAAGAACUCCCCAGGAAGACCGGAUGAUUUGGCACUUUGAUAAGUAUGGCUGUUACUCAGUAAGAAGUGGAUACUAGGUGGCAGUUGGAAUGAAAUUCCUAGAUAAUCCGGAGUGCUCUGAUAGCUCUAAAACUCAAUGGAAGGUGAUUUGGUCAAAUGAGAUUCCAGAAAAAAUAAAAAUUUUCAUGUGGAGAGCUGCUCAGAAUCUAUUACCAACAGCCAAUAAUCUAUGGAGGAAAAAUGUGGUGGGGAAUCCAGCCUGUCAAAGAUGUCAUUGUAAAAGUGAGAAUGUCACUCAUGUGUUAAUGGAGUGUAAGGCUGCUUGGAAAGUCUGGAAGUUGACAGAUUUUUACGAAGAUAUGAAGUUGUUGUCUCAGCAUGACAUGCUGAGUAUGCUCCAAGAACUAGCCUUGAGAAGAAUGAAGGAAGAGAUUGAGCAGAUUCUUGCAAUAUGUUGGGCCAUUUGGUAUGCGAGGAACCGCUUUGUAAUUGAAGGAAAGCAGGAAGAGCCAAAACUGACAGUAGCUAGAGCAUCAGCUAUUGUGGAGUCAUAUAAGAGAAUCAAAACCCAAAACGGUCCAGCUAGAUCAAUUCAUCAUCAAAACAACCAACAAAUUUGGACACCCCCUCCAGAGGGGAAGUAUAAAGUCAAUGUGGAUGCUGCAAUUCAAAUGGCAGGUCUGAAGGCAGGGUUGGGGGCAGUGGUUAGAAAUUCCAAUGGAAAAAUCAUUGUUGCAGCUGUUAAGAAGGUGGGCUUCCAGGGAACAGUGGCAAGCAUGGAGGCUGAAGGAGUCCUCUUUGGCAUUCAAGUUGCCCAACAAGUAGAAUAUUUGCCCAUGAUUAUUGAAUCGGACUCAACAGAAGUGGUGGAGCUAGUCUGGAGCAGGAAAAGCAGCUUGACUGAAGUUUCUUGGACAGUAGAAGAAAUAAAACAACAGCUGCAGAUCUCGAAUGCAUUUUCAUUACAGUAUGUUCCAAGGAAGUGUAAUGCCAUAGCUCAUGCUAUAGCAAAAGUGGCUCUGGAUUUUGAGAAUUCUGUUAUAUGGCUGGAAGAGUUUCCAGUCCAGAUCAUGAUGUUACUCUCAAAGUUUAUCAAUUAGAAAGCUUUACUUUCUUUUCAAAAAAAAAAAAAAAAAAUAUGCAACUGCUGCAAAAUGGACUCACUAGCUAGCAAAUAAUAAUAUAUAGUGCUGUCAAAUUUAUAAAGAUUGUACCAAAUGAUUGUGGUUCAGUUGGCAGCGCAGGCUGAGUUUGUGGAAAGAGCUCUCGGGUUCGAUCCCCACUAAACACACCAUUUGGGAGGGGUAAAGAGCCUUAACUGUGCUACACCCCGAAUCCGGAUUAGUUGGGGCUCAAUGCGGUCGCCGGAUACCGGAUGACUUACAAAAAAAAAGAAAAAUUAUAAAGAUUAUAUAUACACACACUUUCGUGUUCAAUGCACCGAUACUAGAUGUACAUUGGCAUUUAGAAAAGUUGGCGAUAACUAAUGACUUUCAAGAUUAAUUAAAUGACAAUAUUCAGUCUAUCAUAAAACAAGUUUUCAACAAGUGAAGAGGAGGUACUCUUUAUAAUUGGAUAAUUAAUGCAACCUUCAAUAUUUUCAACCAAAAAAAAAAUGAUAUUUGAUAUGUAUUCAACAUUAGGGAAAAACCACCCAUAUCGAAGGUUUGCUUAAAUGAUCAAAUAAAUCCACUUAGUUUCGUAAAUGGUUGUACAUAUCCUCUUUUUGACUAUUUAUUGGGUUAUGUUUGAGAGUUAGGACUAAGUGUGGGAUUAUACUAACUUUGAGAUUAAAUAUUAUUCUAUAUUUAGCAAUUUUCCUUGGAUUGGAUUAUGAGAGACUAAAUUCUAAAUUAGUUGUUAAAUAAAAGGGAUUGGCAAUACCAAUCUAUAAAUAGAUUUAAAUGGGAUUAGAAUAAGAGGAAAAAAUGUUCAUUUGUAAUAUUUCUUUCAUAUAUAACACCAUCUUUUAUUUAUUACUUAAAAUUUAAUUAAUGAGUUAAUUAUUUUAUUCAUCAUUUACUUGAAAUAUAUUUUUUAUUUUGUUUUUAUAUUCUAAUUAAAUUGGUACCUUAAUUUGAUAAUUUGUUACAUUAAUUGAUUGUACUAAAUUUAAUAAUCACCUAUGUAAUAUUAAAAUAUAAUUAUGAAAAUUAAUAAUACUAGUAAUUAAUUGAUUUUAUAAAUUAUUUGUUAAUUUUUUGAUAAAAUAAAAUAUAUAUCUAAAAUAUCUAAAUAAUCAAAAACUUUUAUUAAUUUAUAUUUUUUAUUACAAUUAUGACUACCCAUAAGUAAUUUACUGUAUAUUUAAUGUUCUUAUUAAUUAUAUUUAAAUUAAUCUUAAUUAUUAUUCUUAAAUAUUCAUAAAUAUUUUUUAUUUAAAUAUAAUUUAAUAUUGUCUAAUCCAAUGUUGUACCAAACAUAAGACAGUAGUGUAUAAUCCAACAUAAUACUUAGUCCAAUUUAAUCUUGCUUGCCAAAUGUAAUCUUAUACACUUUGAUUACAACAAGCCAAUAAUUGACUUAAAUAAACUUCUAUAACAAUUAUAAGUUAAAAUUAAAAUAAUAUGAUAUAUAAAAUAAGAUAAAAUUUAUAAAUUAUUUUGAUUAUUAGAAAAAUGAUUUUAACAUUAUUAAUUUGUCAUAUUCUUUUACUACUAAUAAAAUCUGUUUGACAAAUUAAUAAUAUUAAAAUAAUUAUACCUAACAUUCACAAUAAUUUAUAAAAUUUAUAUAUUUUGUUUACAAUUUUUUUUAAUUAUGUCUAUAUUAAUAUAAAUCUUAAAGUCAAUUUUUGGAUUAAUAGAUUUUAGUAUAUAUAAUAAUAACUUAAUAUUAAAAAUAAUUUUCAUUACAUACGUUAUUCUAUUAAUUAUCUUAUUGUAAUAUUUUAUUUGUAUCAUAUGAUAUUUAUUAAUUAUUAUUUUAUCUUAUUACUAUAUUUAUAUUUAUUUGUGUUGUUGUAAUCAAAGGGUAUAGUAACUAAAAAUGUGUUUAUGUGACUAUUUAACCUAAAGGGUCUUUGUGACCAUUUAAGUAAACCUUAGAAAUGUGUGACAAUAGUCAUUCUAAUGACUUUCAAGAUUGAAAAUGAGUCGGAUUAUCAAAUUAUGAAGCAUUGAUAUGUAAUGUUUUAUGGUUAUUUUAAGGUUGAAGUUGGUUUAUUCAUUAAACAAGCUUUUAACAAGAGGAGAAGGUUCCCUUUAUAAUUUAAUAAUUAAUACAACCUUCAAUAACAAAAAAGUCAUAUAAUAAGGAUGAUGAUUCUUGCUCACUUGGAUAAGAUAUAUAUAUAUAUAUAUAUAUAAAUAUAUAUAUAUAACCUAUGAUGUGGUAAGCAAGGAAUCAAUUAUGUAUUUCUUGUAUCUGAAAAAAUGAAUAAUCCUUUAACGAAGGUUAUCAUCAAUUGCAGGUUUCUAGUUUGGCUACUUAGUUUUAGGACUACGAAUAUUACAAUAUCAUAAUUAAAGGAAAGAAUAUAGGCGGUAGUCUUUGCCUGAUCUACUUUCUUCUUUUUAAUUAACCACUUGAAAGGAAAGAAUAUUGUAUACGCAGCACACUAUAAUACUCUAAUUACCAAUUCUUUCUUAUAAUAUAAGUUCAUAGUGAUUAAUUUGUCCUUCUUCAGCAAAAAACAAAUCCCAUUUCAGCACAUCUACAAGAGCCCUCAUUUCUCUUUGCUACAGCCAAUUGAUAGCUGAAUCAUCACAUACACCUUGAGCUCCGUCGAUCAUCAUAGACAAUUGGUGAUUAGUGGGAUAUUACAAGAAAGGUACGACGACUACAAACUGAUAGAUUUGUUUAUAUGAUUCGGCUGAAGUUUUUAUAUAUGGUUAAAUUAUGACAAUAAUCAAGAGAUAAUCAUGUACCUCAUUAGUUUCAUAAAUGUACAUACUAAUUUAUUCCCCUGCUUGCCAGAAUCACACAUGUAGAAUAAGAUAAAUUUUAAGAUUUAAACUUUUCAAUUCAUUAAAAAUCUAGUGGGAUAUUAAUCGGUAAAACCACUUAGGGUAGUACAAGAGGUUGUGAUGCUAGCCAAUUUAUGUGAGUGGAGAAAGAAUUAGGUUUUUUUAAUAAAAAUUAAUAAUCAUAAUAAUUAAAAGAUAUAAAUUUCAAGGUUUAAAACUUUACAAUUCAUUAGAAGCAAGAGGGGAUCCUAAAAACUUUGAAUGUAACGUAUCGGUAGUGGAAUGGAUUUUUUAUUUUUUAUUUUUUGGUUGAGACUAUUUACACACUCCUGGGCUUUGAACACAUAUUAGGGUGAGGGUAUUUUAGUAUUUCACUCACUUCUCAAUAAAAUGUUUUGAGGUGAUGCUACCCCUAAACUACUGAUUGAACCCAUUUACUUAAUAAACACACUUCUAAAAUUUAAAAUACACAAUUUUAUUUUACAAAUCCAUUAAUACCUAAAAUACCCUUAUUAAGUUAAAUUAUCACAAUUUCUCUUAUCAUUUUCUUUUCCCAUCAUUUCUCUGUUUCUUGACUCUUUUCUUCUCCAUUUCUGGAGCUUUAUCCAUAACUUUUUUGUUCCAAAUUCUUAAACUUUUUAUUUUAUUUUUUAAUAGCUAUUUUUCCCCUUGAUAUUUCAUGCGUUUGGAACAACACCCUUAAAAAAUUUUAAUAAACAAACAAUAAAUUAAAAUAAACAACUGAUAUUAAAAUUGCAUAUAAAUUUAUAAUAAAUAAAAAAUUUCAAGGAAUUGCAGCAGUUCUUGCAUGGGUUUUUUUUUUUUUCAUUUUAUUAUAUAGAAGAAAGCUUACUAAGUGAGGAGAGAUCAAGAGAAUUCAUUGUCCAAUUCAAAGAAUUCAGAAAAGAUGAAAUUAGAUGGUGGAAGUCAAGAGGAAUUUUACCAACAAUAAGCUUUUAUCCAAAUGCAUUAAAAAUCAUUGAAACUUCUUUCCGCUAACAAAAGUGUAAAUGACAUAGAAAAAGUGAAUACAGUACAUUGAAUAAUGAAAAAUAUGGGAGAAAGGCGGUAAUUUUUUAUUUAAUUUAAUUAUAUAGUCUUAUGUAUUAUAGUAACUUUCUAUGUGAACAUUUUAGUAACAAAAAAAUUUAUUAAAUAUUGGGUUUAAUGAGUAUUUUGUUGCGACAGUCCCACCCAAAAUUUAAUUACAAAAAUUUCAUCAAAUAUUACAUCCAUUUCUUUUCCUAAAGUUUUUUUUCACCAUUUUUUUCUCUUUUCCUCUCCCUCUCUCUCUCCCCUCAGUUGUCCUCUAGUCCUUUGUGGUUCUUAUAUUUUGAAGUUUCUAUUGGAGUAAAACCUCUUUUAAAAUUUCUUAUCAAAAAAAUUAAAAAAUGAAAGUCUCUUUUAAAAUUUUGCCUUCCCCUUACAAUGGUAUAUUAGGAAUAUUAGCAAUUGCAACAGUGGAGGAGUUGUAACAAAACUAUUACAGAGAUAAGAUUUAAUUGAUAAAAGAAAGAUUUAAUGGAAAGUAGUUAGAGAAACAACUAAUAAAAAUUAAUGAUAUUUAUUAGGGGUAUAUUAAGAAUAUUUGUGGCCGCACCUUCAUCUUAUAAUAAUUUUUUAUAUUACUACAAUAAUAACCCUAAUAUAGUUUAAUAUUAAGGACAACGUAAUGAAAUAAUUGUUAUUCUUAUAUCCAUUAAAGAUAUAUUGUUAUUUCAUAAGAGCGAGAACACUCCAAUGCUCAAGUAACAUGUAGAGAGAACUUUGUCAAGGUAUUUCAAUUGUAUGUAAUGCUCUUUGCUAGUGUACCACGUUUAAUAUUUCAAUCAUGACACGUGGCAUUGCAAAUAAUGGCUUUAUUUCAAGUCUUCGUAGGUACUUCGUAGAUUUGCUCGCUCCAGAGCUAGUAUUAGGUCAUCAUGUGCUUCUUUUACUGAUCCACGUGAUUCCUUUUAUCCACGAACACUCCAAUGCUCGUUUAUCAAGGACACAUGUCUUGUCGUCAAAACAUACUAAAAAUAUGGGCAGCGCUUAACUUACAUUUGGUGUAAGUAACAUUCCGAGAAAAUGAAUCGUUGGAUUCCUCAACUUGCUGAUCCAACGGCUGUGAUGAAAGUUAAAGCAAAAUUAGGUUCAGGUACUGGCUGGAAAUUCAUUUUUAAAAACAAAAGAAUGGCAACCUGCUAAAAUGGUUGUUGAAAAAACCAAGCUAAGGGGUUAGUCGGUAAUGAUAAUUUUAGAGGAAAAUGAUGAGUGACGAGCGGUCGUCCGGAUAUUCCAGAAAAUUCAAGAUAGAAAGUACAGUAAUUAGGUUUUGAAAGAGGGAAAGCAAUAGAAGUAGCAAACGAGAUAACCAAAUUCCUAUUUCAUUUUUUCAGAUCACAAAUUGGGGAAACGAAAAAAAUUACAGCACCACUUGUCAAAAAAAAAAAAAAUUGCAGCACCAUAAAAUCGAAGGUAGAGGCGCUGGAAUGUCACAGAAAAUGCUAAAAUUUGAAGCAUCAUCUUGUCAAGUUGUCUUCACCAUAUAUUUUCCCUCACAUCAUUCCUUGUUAUGGGUGGGUCGUUAUUAUUGGAACACGGUGAUUUGGAAAAAUCCCAGAAUUGAUCCUGAUAAAAGCAUGACAGCAAAAUGAGCAUGGGUUACGGCUGUAAGCGAAGUUUAGUGAAGGGCGCAUAUCAAGGGUUAGGAAUGAAAGGAUGAAAGUAGGAAAUUGGUUAGUUUAUUUUAGUGGAAAGGUAAAAUGUUAAGCAAAUAGAAAGAAAUGACAGAGCAAAUUGAACCGGCUAUAAUGAGAAACACCUGAGAUUGACUUUACCGUUGAUCCAUUUUGCAACUGGUUUCCAACCGGUUUCAACAAGUUUUUAUUACUGUCCCAAAUUGACACGUGUUGCGCUUACAUCAAUUAAUUGGUCAUGUCAAUUAUGUUUCUUACAUAAAUUGUAACGUAAGCUUACCCAAAAAUAGGGAAAUUUACAAAAAUAACCAUAAAACUUUGGCUAUUUUCACAAUUAAUCCUCUCAAUUUUUUUCUAUCAACAUUAGCCAAACACAUGCUUUUCUCCCAAAAUUACCCUUCUUUACAAACCAAAAGCAACUUUCUUUCUCCCCUUCCGUGAAACCAAAGGCAACUUUCCACUCUUGAAUCAUCAACCAACGGCAACGGCAAAAGGCAACAAUAAAAGUGAAAUCCGAUCAUAAUCUAUCUGGAUCCAACACUAAUCGGCAUCACAUAGUGGUAUGAGUUAUUUUCUGAACUUGCUUGAAAGUUUCAGUGAAUUGCGUCGUGGGUGAAUCUGGCGACAGGCUGCCUGUCGCACUAAGUCUUGGUGCGACAGGCGCCUGUCGCACCAAGUUUUAGUAUUUGGGGAGGAGAGAUUCCGCGUUUGUAAAGGACAGGAGAGAUUCCGCGUCACGAGUGUUGUCCGCACGAAGCCUUACCUUGUGGCGGAGGUCGCGUGGCUGGAAGAUUUAGACGCCUUGUCGAAUGACGUGGAGACUUACAUGAAGGACGUGAUUCGGUUGUCGAAUCGGCUGAAUGGAAAGCCGGAGAAAGAGGUUGUGGAUCUGCGCAGGAAUUUAUUUCUGACGCCGUUUUCGUUUUUUGUUGGGAGCACUUUUGAAGGUGCGCCCAGAGAGCAACAAGCUUUGCUUGAGUUAGAAGAUACAGCGGCGAGGCUGAAGAGGGAGAAGGAAACUUUGAGGAACACCCUUAAUUACUUGACUGCUGCAUCGGCUAUUAAAGAUGUGUUCCCUUCGUCAAGUUAGUGACGAAUUUUAAAAUGGCCUGCUUUUUGUUUCCCCCCCCCCCCCUUUUUCUUGUUCUAUUGCAUGAUAUUUGUACAAAGACGAGCUGCCAAGUUGUAAAUUUUCUUUUUUUGAUGUGCAAUGUCUUUUAGCAAUUAGAUGUUCAUAGACAGGUUAAAAUUAGCAAGCAAUUGAUAAUUGAUAUAUGCUUUAUUUCUUUGAUUAAGUUUGUAGUUUUUAGUUGUUCUUGUUUCUUGAACUUGUUGCAGCUGUUCUACAUGUUCGAUGUUAAGUUUCAGUUAAUAUCAGUUACCAGUUACAUUUUAUGAUCAACUCAUAUAGCAAGAGCUCAAUGUUUCAUCUGCAUUAAUUAUAUAUGCGUGCUAUGUGUGUAUUAAUUCAUUCAUCAAUCAACUCUCUUUUAAAAGGUGAAUGGAUCAUGUAGCAAAAGUAUGUGAAAGAUGUGCUUUAUCAUGUAGGGUGGUGCAUUUUCUUUCAUUAUCCACUUGGAUGUUCUGAAAAUUGUUUACUGCCUGCAAAUGUGUUUGAAGUUUCAGGUGAGAAAAUAUAUUUUUUUUCCCCAUUUGUUCAACAGCUUGGAUUGAAGUUAGAGAAUCUACGUGAAUUAUCUCCACAAUUGAAUGUUUCUUUUUCUUUUAUUUUUUUUUCCUUAUUAAAUGAAUGAUUGUGGUGCAUACUUGCAUUGAGUGAGGUUGAUGAAUGCUAUAAUUUCUUUUUUGAGUGUUUCUUGCUUGUUUGUAUCAUCGUAUAAAAUUGUAGUUUUUCUUUUUUCUUUUUUUUUCGGGUGCAUCCGUCUUUUUGAUAUGGCAGAACUUGGAACUCCUGCAACGGUUUAGUGAUUGUGGGUCGUGGUCUGUUUCAUAUCCUGAAAAUAAUUAAUUGACUGGUGAGUGAGAGAACUGAUGUAUACAUAUGAUAAUGGUAGUCAAGCAUGUUUACCCUGUGGGCUGUGCCGCUUUGCCUGUGCAACCCAGACGUUUGACGUAAGGCGAGAAAGAGGAAGAUUAAUCCAUAUUUCAAACAGAAGAAAAAGAGAAAAUGUGCGACAGGCUGCCUGUCGCACCAAGUUUUAGUAUUUGGGGAGGCCUCUAAAUUCUCUUCUCUAUUGCACAUCUUGGAUUUGAGCAUAAAUAUGAUCUCUGGUGACAUCUCCGAUAUGCAGAAUUGGGAAGCCAAUUUGGAGAUUCUUGAUUUAAGUUCAAACAAAUUGGAGAUUCUUGAUUUAAGUUCAGCUUUUACUUGUUGUCGCCGAUGAUGGGAGUUUCUUCAGUUUGGGAGAGAUGGGUGAAAGAGAGUGUUGGAGGAGAGAUGAGAUAGAGGGGUAUUUUGGUCUCAAAUGAUCUUUUAUGGCUAAUGUUGAUAAAAAUUUGUUUGAGGGGUUAUUUUGAAAAAAGUCAAAAUUUUUAUGGCUAUUGGUGUAAAUUUCCCCCAAAAAUAUGACAUGCUAACCCAGAUGCAUUUAUGAAAAAUAACAAUAAAUUAAAGGAUCCCUUAAGUUACCUGCUUUUGAGCCCGUCGCACUCUGUUUUAUUUAUUAAAGCCCUUAGAGUAUCAAAUUCAUUUCCUAUAAUUUUUAAAUUCCCAAAAUACUCUCUAUUUAAUUAAAAAAUAUAAUAAUUAUUAAAUGGAUUAUAAUUAUAAUAAUUAUUUUAUUAUAAUUAUAAAUAUAAUUAUAAUUUUUAAAUGGAUUAAUGAUGAUAAUGAUAAUAAUAAUAAUAAUAAUAAUCUAUUAACAAUAAUUAAUAAUAAUGUUUUAGUUAAAUUGUUAAUAAUAUAAUUAACAAUAAUUACUAUUAUUAAUUAAUUUUUGAAUAAUAAUAAUAAUCACAAUAAUUAAAGUAAAAAAUAAUAAUUAUGAUAAAAACUAAUUAAGGAUUUUAUAGUAAUUUAUUACAUUUAACUCAUUCUGAUUUUAAUUUUAAGACAAAGUAAAUACAUAAAAUGGUAAUAUAGCUCAUUCUAAUUACGAUUUCUGCAGUUCAAGUAAAUAAGUUAUUCUGAUUCUAAUUCCUCAUUUCAAUUCUAUUUAUUCCAAUUCGAACUCAUUAUGUUUCCAGCUAAUUUCGAUUACUGUUUAGUGAAUGCACUAUAAAAUUAUAAACCACUCUAUAUUCAAUUAGACCACUCUAUAUUAUUUACAAUUUAUUCAUAAGUGUUAUGAAACUUUCUGCUUACCUAUACUAUAAAAAUUCAAUUUAUCUCCUCGCAUUCUUUUUCAUUUACUAUUUUUUGUCAAAAGCGUUUCUAUUUACAAUUUUGUUAAUUAUUAGUUUAAUAAUUAUUCAAAAAUAAACUAUUAAUAAUAAUUAUUGUUAAUAAUAAUUAUUAACAAUUUAACUAAAAAAUUAUUAUUAAUUAUUGUUAAUAGAUUAAUUAAUUAUAAUACUUUUUAUUUUUGUUAUUAAUAAUAAUAAUAACAAUCCAUUUAAAAAUUAUAAUUAUAAUAAAAUAAUUAUCAUAAUUAUAAUUAUAAUCCAUUGAAUAAUUAUUAUAUUUUUUUAUUAAAUGGAGGGUAUUUUGGGAAUUUAAAAAUUGUAGGGGAUGAAUUUGAUACUCUAAGGGUUUUAAUAAAAUAAAAUAGAGUAUAAGGGGCUCAAAGAAAUUUUACAAUACAAAAAGUUUCAUGAUACUUAUAAAUAAAUUGUAAAUGAAACAAAGUGCAAGGGGUUUAUUUUACCCUAACAAAUCAGAAAAGACAAAAGCGGCUGUAUGUUACGUGAGCUGUAACUUAGGCAGAUCCUAAAUUAAAAAAGAAAAGGAUAAAAGUGCAAAAGCUAAUUAGUAAUGUUUGAGUUUCAGAUGAUGAAUAUUUAAUUUUAUGGGUGUGAAGAUAUGAAAGAAAAGUGGGUUUAAUGAGGACUAUUUUAUUAUUAAAAGACUACUCAAAAUAAAUUUUAUUUAAAAGUUUUAUUCAAUAAAGUAUAGAGAUCGUCCAAAAUAUAUUUUAGGUACAAAUUAGUCCGUUUGACGUAAUAGUUUGUCUUAUAAUGAGAAUAGCAAUAGUCAAAUCAACUUACUAAGAUAAGAUCUGUCAAAUUUAAUAUUUAAAAUAAAUUUGUUGUCUCAUCAUAGAACACACCGCUCUGCUAUUCGGUAGAGCAUGAUUGGUUGGUAUAGACCAUGGCUUACACAAAUAUUUCUAACAUUUGAAUCCUCAAACCCUCCUAACAAUGCCACUGGUAGGGAUGGACCACAUUUUUCUAAGCUCGGCCCUAAGCCCAUGUUAUUCACCUAUUUUUAAUUAUUAUUUUAAAUAUUAGUGAAUCUGUAAUGUGUUAAUAAUUAACAAGUUGUUAUCAUCAACAAUAAAUUAAAAUUAAUUAUUUUAAAAUAAAAUAAAAAAUAAAGCAAAUAAAAGUUUACAGAUUUAAAUUUUUAGUAUUAGAUCUAUUUCAAGCGUCCUCUUAAUUAAUUAAGGUUUAAGAAAGAGUUUAGUGUCAUAAUUUUAUAUAUUGUUUUUAAUCACUAUUGAUUGAAUUAGGGAUUUAAGUUGUCUUCUUUUAUUUUUUUUAUUAUUAAAAAAAUGGAGGACCUAACCUGUCCUAGACCUUUUUCCUUAAAGAAAAUUUCAUGUAAAGGACCGGACCUAAGCCCACUGGGACUGGGCCAGACCCUUUGAGGCCAGAGGGUAGCCACCAGUCUCUUUUGUCGAUCAUUGCUAACGAACUAGCCCAGUUAAAUAUUUUUAAAUUGAUUGGUCGUAGUUGCCAAUUUCCAAAUAGAACAAAUUUUUAUAGGUGUAUUGGUAGACUGAAUGACAAUUGACAACAUACAACAUAAUUAACAUACUUUCAAAAGAAUUUUUUUUUAAAAAAAAAGAUACAGUGGAUGAACAUAGAAAUCUUGUGCCAAGUUUUGAAAUUCGUCAAUAAUGUAUGGCAGACCCAUGGGGGCUCAAAUCUCAAAUCGAGAAAGUAAUUUUAGAAAAGAGAAAAUUACUUGAGUUACUAAUUAAUUCCUAUUAAGUAUGUUAAAGUAGUCUGUUGAAUUUAUAGCAGUAGCCUUGUAAACUCAUAGAUCUAUAAAAUUUAAGCUUUAACAUUGAGAAAUAUAAAAGUGUAUACUUUAAUUAAUAAAAUAAAAAUCAAUAAUAACACAUAUGGCUAGUUUUAUUAUUAUUUAAUUUAGCCCUAUUAAAUUUAUUAAAAUAACCUCUUUAAAUUUAUUAACCCAUAAAAUUUUAAUUUUUAUAUUUUGUUGUUAUAUGUUUUAACCCUGAUAAUUUUUUUUUGAAUCUGUCACUGCAAUAAUUUCAAUGAUCCUUCAACUUCCCUAACAUUGAUGUUCAGCUGUGUUGACACAAUCACUAUUAUCGUCAUUUUUUUUUUUUUUUACUUUUUCAACAGUCAUAUGCAUUAUCACAAUCAGACAUAAAUUUAAAGCUACUCAUAGAUUAUGUAUAUUAAGCAAAAUUUAGAUUUUUAUCCUCACUAACAAUUGAGAGAUAUCUAUUCUAAGAGAAGGUUUUUGGUGUUCUUGGAAACGUUACUCCUUAUUUAUUUAAUACUUGUCACACGUCUAUUCACAUUCUCAUGAUUGAUUGAAAUAUAUACAUGAUAAAGAUUAAUGAAUAAAAAAGAAACAGUGCUUUAGGAGAUAACACACAAGAAUUUUUCCUACUCCAUCCAGUGGGAAUAUCUACCUCCAUCUAAUUGUAUAUAAUAGGAGGAGGAAUUGUUGAGUCCCCACUUGGGACUCAAGCCAUUGGUCUAUUAACACCCGUUUGCGUUAAAAUUUUGGUUGAAUUUAUAGAAUACUAUAAAUGGUAAAAGAUGCAACCAAAUAAUAUUUCGUGACUCUGUCUUUUCAGUUUUAGGAACAAUGGUGGAAUCAUUUUUGCCGCUUGAAAAACUUACGGAAAAAUUAGGAUCCCGUGCUUUCCAAGAACUUUUAGCACUCUACUGUGUCAAAAAUGACGCAGAAAAGCUAAAGGAGACCUUAACCACUGUCAAAAGUGUGGUUUUAGAUGCUGAGGAAAAGCAAGUCCAUAGCCACCAGUUAAGAGAUUGGCUGGAAAAGCUUAAGGAUGCUUGUGAUGAUGCAGAAGAUGUCUUGGAUGAAUUCGAGGUGGAAGAUCUGCGAAGGCAAGUCAUGAAGCAAAGAAGCAUCGGAAGAAAGUUACGUAACUUUUUUGGAAGCUCAAAUCCGGUAGCUUUUCGUUUUAGAAUGUGUCAACAAAUCAAGAAAGUCGGAGAGAGGUUUGAUGAGAUUGCAAACAUGAUGCAUAAGUUUGAUCUCACUGCACGACUUGAUGAUCAUAGUUGACGAAUUGUGCAUGAAGCGAGGGAAUCUACUCACUCGUUUGUUCGUCCAUCAGAUAUUAUUGGAAGAGAUAAAGAUAGAGAAAAAAUUAUUGAAGCUCUGAUGCAAGCAAGUUCUGGCGAAAGUGAAACUGUGUCUGUUAUUCCUAUUGUGGGAAUUGGAGGUCUGGGCAAAAGUUGGUGUUCAAUGACCAAAGGGUAGAAGAGCAUUUUGAGUUGAAAAUCUGGAUAUGUGUUUCUGAGGAUUUUGGUGAGAGACAAAUUAUGACAAAGAUUAUCAAGUCGAUAACUGGUCAAAACCAAGGUGACUUGGAUAUAGAGCAAUUGCAACGAAUCUUGCGAGUUUGUUUGAAUGGUAAGAGAUAUUUACUUGUUAUGGAUGAUGUAUGGAACGAAGAUCCCAAAGUAUGGGAUAAAUUGAAAAGCUUAUUGUCGGGGGGUGCUAAGGGAAGCAAAAUUCUGGUAACCACACGUAGCAAUAAGGUUGCUUCAAUCAUGGGCAUGAGGGGAGGUACUACUGGCUACAACUUACAAGGUCUACCAUUCGAGGAUUGCUUGUCUUUGUUUAUGAAAUGUGCAUUUAAAGAAGAGCGAGAUAAACAUCCAAACCUUGAAAAAAUCGGGGAAGAAAUUGUGAAAAAAUGUGGAGGAAUUCCGCUGGCAGUCAGAACACUAGGAAGUCUAUUAUAUUGCUCAACGGAUGAACAUGAUUGGGAAUAUGUGAGGGAUAAUGAGAUAUGGAAGUUAGAGCAAAAGGCAA